CUUUUUUAAGUAAUGAGCCUAUCCUCUAUCUUCUUUUUUAUGUUUAUAUUUCAAUAUACCGAAACCUAUAUAAGACUAGAUAAAUAUUAAGAGGACUCUUCCGCCUAGAUAAAAAUAUAUCAUGGUCAGCAAAGUUGUUUCUUUAUUUUUAUUUGCCCUCUUUAAUAAUUUCAAUUUCAUUAAGAAAAACUAACUAAAUAAAUGGAAAAUGAAAAUUAAUAGAAUUCUUUUUUUUCUUCAAAUCCAAAAAAUUUCUCUUUUUUAUACAUAGGUCGUCGAUUCGGCAUUGGUUAAAAAAGGGCAGGGUGCCCCCCUUUUUUUCUAGUAAAUAGUUCAAACCAUUUUAUCGAUAUGAGUGUUCUAUAUCAGAUAAAUUUUACAUUAGCUAUUUCCCGUUUAAAUUCGGUACUAAUACUAAUAUAGUUGUAGAAAGAGUACCUCUUUUUGCCUGGACUUCAAGCAGUUUAGCUUUAACCAUGUUAAUGGUCUCACAUUCUUGGUUUAUAGAGAAUCAAAGUUGAUUUACCAAUGAGUCGCGAAAUGCUAUGGUUCUUCCAUAUGAUUUCUGAAUUUAUUCAGAAGUAAUUCGUCGAGAUCGUGCACCCUUUUCUUAUUUAUCCGAAAAAUACUAAAAAAUAUUAUAAAGUGCAGCCGGAUAGAUCCAAUCUAUUCUUGAAAUAGACAACUCGCACACACUCCCUUUCCAAAAAAAAUCAAAACACCAACCACUACAGUUAGAUUUAUUAGAUUUGUUGCUAAAAUAUCGGUAUUAAGCCCGAAACUGCCAGCGGAUGGCCAGUGAGCUAAAAAAACGAAAGAAUGGGUUACAUUUUUCAUAUGCUCUCCUCUUAUAGAUAGGACGAACAAAGAACAAAGUUUUUCGAUCACUUACUUCGCUCGCCCUUUUUUGAUCGGUUUUUUUUAAUGCAAAUAGAUUCAAUCUAGUAAUUUCUUUUAGAUUACGUCUUACGUCUUGUUUGACCGGUGAAAGACUUCCUUUGUUGAAAUGUUCUGUUCCCAAAAUUCCUAAAAUAAAAGGAAAAAACUUUCCACUUUCCUAAACUAAGGACGGGAAAUAAGAAGGUGAGCAUAUCUUCUAAAUUAAUAAUACUCAACUCAGCCCUUCCUAGAAUGGGGUAUUAUCUAUCCCGAUAAAUAGAUAAUUCCAGGAGUAAUAAAUAGGAGUAAAUUAAAUAAAGUAUUGAUAUAAUUGGAAUUGCGGAAGCAAAUACCAAUUUACUAAAAAAAGAAAAAAGUAUCUAAUCGAAAUCGAAAGAAUUUUUUUUAAGAUUAAACAAAAGGGUUCACAAAUAAAAGCGCUAGUGCCACAACUAGUCCAUAAAUUGUUAAAGCUUCCAUAAAAGCUAGACUAAGCAAUAAAGUACCUCGUAUUUUACCUUCUGCUUCUGGCUGUCUCACAAUACCUUCUACAGCUUGUCCUGCAGCAGUACCUUGACCAACUCCAGGUCCAAUAGAAGCAAGCCCUACGGCCAAUCCAGCAGCAAUAACAGAAGCAGCAGCAAUUAGUGGAUUCAUGGUGAGUAGUUCCUCGUGUCAAAAAAAAGAAAUGGUUAAGGAUACAAUCAACCAAUAAAUUCUUACUUCUAAGCUCUAUUGGGGAGAAGUAAAGUAACUAAAAAGUACAAAUUGAAAUCAAAUUGAAAUGAUAAUGUGAAUUGUCCGAACUACAUAGAAGGGAAUUCCAUAUCCAUAUAUCGGAUUAGAUAAUGAAUCUAACCUAGGAAUAUAUAUUAUAAUAUCCUAUAUAUACAUUUGUUUCUUCUAUUUUGUUUGCAUAUUUUCUCAUUUUCUAUUGAAUUGGAUUCUAAAAUCAUUGCUUAAAGUGGAAACCCGCAUAAAAGAGGACUCCACUUAUAGACAUUAAGGAUAUUAUAGUAUAGAUCUAGCCUGACUCCACCCUCCUUAAUGCAUAUAUACUUUGAAAAUUCCAUAAUAUUGUCUAUUCUAUUCUCUCUCCUACAACUCUAGGCUAUAUAUUCAUACGCAUUUCUAACUAUUUUUUUGCAACCAAGCAGAUUAUCCGGAACCAUGCAUGAAUUGAGCUAAGCUGCAAAAAAAUACUAUUUCCAAAAAUAGUCAAUUCAAUGAUGACCGUCCAUGGAUUCACCUAUAUAGGCUGCGGCUAAUGUUGCAAAAAUAAGAGCUUGAAUACCGCUUGUAAAUAAUCCAAGAAACAUGACCGGUAUAGGGAUUACUAAGGGGACUAAAGAAACAAGAACAACAACGACUAAUUCAUCCGCCAAUAUAUUCCCGAAAAGUCGAAAGCUAAGUGACAAUGGUUUUGUGAAAUCUUCUAGGAUGUUAAUUGGUAAAAGGAUUGGAGUUGGUUUAAUAUAUUUCUCGAAAUAGCUCAAUCCUUUUUUGCUAAGACCAGCAUAAAAAUAUGCCGCUGACGUGAGUAAAGCUAAAGCAACAGUAGCAUUUAUAUCAUUCGUGGGCGCUGCUAAUUCCCCAUGGGGUAACUCUAUAAUUUUCCAAGGUAAAAGAGCACCCGACCAAUUCGAAACAAAAAUAAAAAGGAACAUAGUUCCAAUAAAGGGAACCCAGGGACCAUAUUCUUCUCCAAUCUAAGUUUUGCUCAAGUCUCGAAUAAACUCAAGGACAUAUUCAAAAAAAUUCUGACCGUCGGUCGGGAUGGUUUGUGGAUUCCGAACAGCUAUGACAACUGAACCUAGCAAGAUAGUAAUUACGACCCAAGAAGUGAUGAGUACUUGGGCAUGAAUCUGGAAACCUCCUAUUUGCCAAUAGAAGUGUUGGCCUACUUCUACACCCGAUAUAUCGUAUAACCCCUUGAGUGUUUUAAUGGAACAAGGUAUAAUAUUCAUAUUGUCCUCUGAUAAAAAUUGAACUUCAAAAAAGGAAUUCUUUUGAUUCAACCAUCUCUUUCUCAACUCAGCAACUUGAAGUAUUAAUCUUAUAUUUAGGAUACCAAGAAAGCACAUCAGAUCAUAAUAUAUAUCAAUACCCUCUAAUAUAUAUUAAUAUUCCCCUUCUUUUUUCUAUGCAAAAAAAUUCUAUGCAAAAAAAAGAUAUAGUAAAGUAAGUGAUUCCAUAAAUUUACGCAGUUGCCCAAGAAUUCACUAUAUAUUCUUAAUCAACAAUUUCUUAUAUAGAGAGAAUGGCCCUCACAAAUUGAAAAUACUAAUUUGUUAAGAAUCAAUCGAAUUGAAGUCAUAGUGUCAUCGUUGGCUGGAAUCGAUAUAUUCGCGACCCUCAUGAUGAAUAUGAGAUUGAUAAUAGUGUUUGCAAUAAUAUUGAAAGUGGGUUUGGAAGAGUGUCAACUUUAGAUCCCACAUAUUUGGAGUAUGUUCAAUCUUAUAAUAUUUUUGAUAAAAGUGGGUUUGGAGAGGUCAUGACUUUAGUUAAUUUUAAUCCUACUAUCUUGGAAGAGUGUCAACUUUGCAUGCAUGUGGAUUGUGUUAAGAAUAUGUUAUGUGAUAGCUAUUUUGCUGAAUUUGCCUAUGAUCCUACCUGUAAUUAUUAUGAGAGAGGAAAAUAUGGUCAUAGAAAAUUUUAUCUUACUAAAUUACCUCUCAUCACGUUGAGAUUGCUAUUGUCUCUUUCUUAUUCCUUGCAUAUGCUAGUUUUUGUUUGCCUUGCAAAUUUGUUUGCUUAUAAUAUGCCUAUGCAUCGGAAGUAUGUUAGACUUAGAUGUGGUUGUCACGUGUUUCAUGAUGCUCUCUUUGCGCUUCAAUUCUUGUCUUUCAUGUGAGCAUCAUUAAAAUUAUCAAUGCGUAGCUAAAAGUCUUUAAAGAAAAGCGCUUGUUGGGAGACAACCCAAUAUUUUUCCUUGCUGUUAUUCAACAAAUUUUGCAUCUACCUUCUGUUUAGAUGUGUUUUCAUGUUUUAAUUAGUGUUUGUGCUAAGUAGAACCUAUAGGAUAACCUACACUACAAAAAAAAGACACAUCCAUAAUAUUUUGGGCCGAACGAAUUUUUUUCUGUCAUACUUAUGACACUUCUAUGAUGAUAAUUGUGACAAAACCUGGUAUCAUCAUAGAUGUGGUGGGAUGCUACUUCUAUGACAAGAAAUCAUGACAGAAAAUGGGCUUUUCGUCUCGGGCGUGCCGGAGACGCAGCUGCAUGACAUUCUUUGGGCCGUCCAUGACGGAAAAACCGUGGAAGAAGCAAGGGCGAGGAAAAUUUCAGGGAGUUCCCGGUUAUGGUGGGUGGUCGGGGGCCGAGCGAUGCACGUUUCUCUCGUACACAUACGCGUGUGUGUGCGAGGCAUUGGCUCUAACUGAACCCGAGCGAGGCGUUGGCCUCUAACUGAACCCGAGCGAUUGCACUGCAGGCUACGCAUUACUGAACCCGAGCGAUUGAUCGAUGGCUGUUAACUAAACCUGAUCGAGCGAUUCCUUCGCUACUGCUGCUAACUGAAGCCAAUCGAUGCUGCCUCUUUGGAUGNNNNNNNNNNNNNNNNNNNNNNNNNNNNNNNNNNNNNNNNNNNNNNNNNNNNNNNNNNNNNNNNNNNNNNNNNNNNNNNNNNNNNNNNNNNNNNNNNNNNNNNNNNNNNNNNNNNNNNNNNNNNNNNNNNNNNNNNNNNNNNNNNNNNNNNNNNNNNNNNNNNNNNNNNNNNNNNNNNNNNNNNNNNNNNNNNNNNNNNNNNNNNNNNNNNNNNNNNNNNNNNNNNNNNNNNNNNNNNNNNNNNNNNNNNNNNNNNNNNNNNNNNNNNNNNNNNNNNNNNNNNNNNNNNNNNNNNNNNNNNNNNNNNNNNNNNNNNNNNNNNNNNNNNNNNNNNNNNNNNNNNNNNNNNNNNNNNNNNNNNNNNNNNNNNNNNNNNNNNNNNNNNNNNNNNNNNNNNNNNNNNNNNNNNGGACCCCUUGGCGUUGCCUCUGGAUGAACAGGACUCCGAUCGAUCGAGCCAGUUGGGGCUGGAUGAAUAGGACCCCGUGGAGGGCUGGAUAAACUUGACGACCCCGUGGAGGGCUGGAUGAAUAGUAGACAGUGGAGGGGGUGGAUGAACAGGAGCCCGUGGAGGGGUGGUUGAACAGGAGCCCGUGGAAGGGUGGUUGAACAGUAGCUGGUGGAGUAGCAUGCGGUGGAGGCUGGAUGAACAGGAGCCCGUGGAGGCUGGAGGAGGUCGACGGUGGAUGAACAGUAGUCCGUGGAGGCUGGAGGAGGUCGAUGGUGGAGAUGAACAGUAUCCCGUGGAGUCCUGUUUUGCGGUACGCCACACCCCUCCCGAUGAAUAGAACCCCCGUUUCGAUGGUAGCGCUCCAACACAAGUCCGUUUCGUCCGUUUUGCAGUACACCACACCCCUCCCGAUCAACAAGACCCCUGUUUUGACCGUAGGAGGCCCGUUUCCUCCGUUUUGCGGUACGCCAGACCCCUCCCGAUGAACAGGAUCCCGUUUCGAACAUGGCCGGUCGAACACAAGGCCGUUUCCUCCGUUCUGCGGUACGCCAGGCCUCGUUUCCAUCGCAUGUUCCGUCCAAGCCCUCCAGAUGAACACGACGACGCAUUCCGUUCCGACCCAGUCAGUUGGCUCCCCAUGAACACGGCGAUGACACUAUUUCUCCGUUCCGACCCAGCCAUGUACACGAGCCCUGGCCGUACGUAUGCGCGAGUAGGCGUUCGAGACCCCGCCCGUAUGUACACAUAUGUGGCCGUAUUUUCUUUCUUGCACACUGACCGCUGUACGUACGAGUACAUGGUACGUGCGCGCCUCUACUACAACACGUACGUGCCUCUACUAUGACACGUGCAUGCCUCUACAUCCACCAGUAUGUACGUACACGUUCGCGAUCAGAAUGACAACGCUACGUACGCUUUGACCAGGUGGGUCCCGACUGUCAGACACUUCCUUGCGUGCGAAGAUGUAGCUGGUGGGUCCCAGCAGUCAGGGGGGCGAAUCAUUUUCUCGGACGCACUUCCUUGUGUGCAAAGAUGUAGCUGGUGGGUCCCAGCAGUCAGGGGGAAACGUUUUUUUGCGAAUUACAGUGGCCCGUCCGGUGGGUCCCAGCUGAGGUGGAGGAAUCAUUAUUUUCCGCGUAAUAAGGAGGCACUUCCUUGCUGCGGUCGUGGACCCAGCUGUCAGCCUCUCCACGUACAGUCCACGUCCGAUGGAAGUUGUUCCUUGACCACGUUGACCACGCCGCGCCGAGAGCACCACGGCGGUGGACGACGGCGAGGCCUAGGAAGGGGACGACGCAGAGCCGGGGAAGACGCGGCAGUGGAUGCACAUGCGGAGAGGAGUACGAGGGUUCACUGGUUCGGCUGCGGUGUGAGGCUGUCGUCGCCGCAGAAUAACAGGGGUUGUGGGUGAGUGGAGGGAUGGCCUGGCCAGCAGUGGGAGUAGUAGGGAGCGGUGAGGCCUCCGCGGCAGCACAGCCGACCACAGGAGGCAGGAGCAGGCGGCACGACCGGUGCUGCUUUGGGCGGCUGGAUCAAGAAGACCAGAGGUUGAAGAAGCACGACGGCCGUUGGAUGGACAUCAUACGGUCACUGCAGCUAGAAUCGUUUAUAUUGACUAAGUUGACAAAGCCCUUGGUACGUCAACUUAGUAGGCCCAUAGGUCAGCUUCCAAAAUGGUGCGCCCCAGAUGUCAGGGGGAGGAAUCAUUUUUUUGGGGGGAGGGGGGUGAAGAUAGAAUAUUCGAGAUUGAAGAAGAAGCACGUCAUCCGUUGGAUGGACAUCCAACGGCCACUGCUGGUAGAACCAUGUGUUGACUAUAAGUUGACAAAGCCUUGCAUACGCGUCAACUCUCUUUUUUUAGGGGAUGCAUCAACUUAGUAAGGCCAAAAGUGUGUGGCAGAGAACUUAUAGCCCAUUUGAGAUUUGUAAGAAUGUGCAACCCAUUUUUGAAUUCUAAUGGAAUUUACUACAGCCCAUUUACAGUUUGUUAAAAGUACAACCCAUUUCAACCAACCGUUCAAAAAAGAAUUCAAUAAAAUUUCCCACAUUUUGAUGGGAUCCGAAAUAUUUUUAUGCCGAAAUUUCUAGUCAGAUUAAAUACAAUUUCAAUAUAAAUUUAUAUUACGUAAAAAUCCAACGAAACAUUGCGCUUGCAACAAUUAAUGAAAUUAAAAUUUUCAAUAUCCAAAAAUAAUAUUUUAUAAAGUAAAUACGUGUUUGGUGCAUUUUUUAUAGUUACUGCCCUGUUUUUAUAAUUACAUCCCAUUUAUUAUUUCUUAAAGCCCAUUUUCUUGUUAAGCCUAAUGCAUCCCUCCUAGGAAAGAUUUGUAGCCCAGCGGGGCAGAGAAUAACAACUUGACCUUGCCUGGGUAUUCCUAAAAAAAGUAUAGCUGGGCUAGCCAUUUUCAGCUUGAAAAAAAUUAAUAUCUGGGCUGGAUAUCUGGCCUGGGCUAGACGGGCCACAACCCGCCCAGUUAAUACCUGCAGCGAUGUUUUCAUUGUUGUUCAGAGGAGAAAAAUUAAUAUCUGGGCUAAACUUCAAAAAACUCUGCAGUGCUCACACCUCAAAAACACAAAUACUGCUCGAGCUGCUUGGUCCCAGCUGUCGGCCGCUUCUUGUGCAAUUCUCUCAUUUAUUGACUACUCCCUCCUUUCCGGUUUAUAGUGCUCAAUUCAAAAAUCUCACCAGUCAAGGUAGAUGGCGAGUGGUGGCAUACUUUUUGUAGUUUUGCAAAAGCACCUAAUUAAUGCUCUUGUUAUCCUCAAAAAUCAUGUUUAUCAAUGCAUUAAUUGCAGUGCAUGCAUGCAUAAAGUACAUGCAUUGGUCAAUUUUCUUUUAGUACUUGCAUGCAAUGAUUUAAUGCACCUUGAAAUCUGAACAUGUGAUGGAAAACAAUCAAAUUGAGCCUUAUAAAAUGGAAAAACUAAAAUUUUGAGAUAAGCCCUAUAAACCGGAAAGGAGGGAGUACAUAGGUUGACAAUGGUGUGGGACCGUGAUGUCAGGAAACCAAGAGGAAGCAAAAUAAAUUAUAUAUAUAUAUAUAUAUAUAUAUAUAUAUAUAUAUAUAUAAUAAGGAGGCACUUGCGUACGUUAGGCUAUGGCCCUGGUGGGUCCCCAUUGUCAUCCUCUCCAAGUAAAGUCAUCUCCUCGCCCGCGCGCGCUUUCCGCCCGAAACAGUCAGCGCUGCCCCCUCGCUUCCCGGUGCAGGCGAUUGCUCUGCCUUCAAACGACACAAGUGCCGUCCGUCCGUCCAUCUGCCGCCCACAUUAAUGAUAUACGGUUGCCGAGGCGGCUACUCCGGCGCCACACGUCCGUCCCUCCGCCGCCCACCAUUGCUAUAUAAACUGCUGCGCCGGCCAUAGCCGCAGUCAUCCGCAUCCAUUCCCUUUCUCUUGUCCACACCACUACUGCCCACCAUGGUUUCCUCGCGCCCAAGCGCUCUUCAGGACGGGCGGACGACGGACCACAAGGAGAUGGCAGUCAUUGCUACCGACCGGAUGGCCGGCAGGCAGCCGGAGGACGACGACGUCCCAAUGGAGAACAUAGUAGUCGAUGAUCCGGCGCCAACCCCCUCCUCCGCGCCAUCCUCGCCGGUGCAUUGCACCAUGACCAUCAGCGAGGCCCGUGCCCAAUAUAUGGACAUGGUGAGGCAGAUGCGUGAGGAGUAGUUCUGGGAGGCCCAGGCCGAUGCCGCCUACAACCACCAUCUCCUCCAGGAGCACCCGCAGGCGGAGGAGCAGAUCGCUGCGAAGCAGGCGGAGCAGGAGGCGCUGCUUGACUCGUACCGCUCCACCCGUGAGGGCCACCUCGAGCGCUGGCGGUACCGCAUGCGGGUGGCGGAGGCUGCGGCCGCCUACAAAGAGGGCAAUGAAGUGGGCAAGGCGCUGUUUGGUGAGAUCGAGGACGAGGUAGAGGACAAUGCCAGCUCCGACGAGUGCCCGCUCCGCUGGCGUCGACGAGGCCCUGCUCCACCGAGGCCCCGCGGCGCCAAGAACAAGGCAGAGGACACCGCCGGCUUCGCCGAGGCCCCGCCCCGCCAACAACAAGGCAGAGGACAUUGCCAGCUCAGCCGAGGCCCCACCCUACUAGCAACGAGGGGGAGGAUUUCCACUGCUCCGCUGAGGCGCCGCCCGCCGGCAAUGAGAUAGAGGACAUCGCCGGCUCCACCGAGGCCCCGCCCCGCUGCCAACGAGGCCGCGCCACACAGAAACCAAGGAAGAGUAGAACACGGUAUGUCGCCGCCGCUCGGGUCCAAGCAAGGCCACCGCUGCUAUCCUCCGGUUGAAGCCAAGCUAGGAGGGUUGACCAUUGACGGUCGGUUAGCUUCUUGGCGGUGACGUGGGGUCAGAGAGCUGUGCUGGAGAAGAACACUGCUUCUACUUAACUGCUGGUGCAGUUGGCUGACUGACACAUGGGCCCAACAGGCCACGUGUUAGUUAUGCAACUGCACCUGUAGUUAAGUCACUGAAGCUUCUGUUCGGCUCAGCGGGACACAACUGGGUAGCUUCGGUUAAUUAAUUAUACCUCCAGCGCACCCCUUUUUAGUUGAAGAAUGUAUGAAAUGUAAUGAAAUCCGGCAUGUUUAUAUGAAAUCCGACCAUGUAUGAAUGAAUUUAUUUCGAUUAGUUUGAAUUGCUGUAUCACUGGCAUUGGAUGAACAUGCAAAACAAUACGUACUAGCAUUAUUCCCAGGGUGAUCACCUCGUUUGCAGCAGUUUCACAUGUACUCCCUCCGGUCCUUUCUAGUCUGCAUACAAGUUUUGUCUGCAGUCAAAGUAUCUCUACUCUGACCAAUCUUAUACAAAAAACUAUGCACUUUCACAAUGUGUCAAGUAAAAAGGAACAGAAGGAGUACAAAGAGUUUGAGCAGCUUUUUAGAGUUUCUGUACAUUGCAAUCAAACACACAGGGCUGGAAAUUCAUAGAGAACAUUCAAAACAAUCGAUGAUUAUGCAUCUCAACGACUCACAUGUCAGAGGCAAUAUUUACUUCACAACUAAAUAAUAAAGAAAAAAUUGAUCGACCCUGCUGACAGCAAAGGGCGUCCCAUUCGAAAAUAUCAAAUGCAUGUCUUGCUAAAAUCAAUGAGCAAAAUUUGACAAGGUUGUCCCACUCCAAAAUAUCAAAUGCCUACGAUUGUGGAAUGGGCAGGGUUUGCCAUCAGUUCGGACAUUGACAUGGCACCUCGUGCUAAAUAAACCAGUUGUUCUUUUUGUGCAGUUCCACCAAAAUCAACCAAAUUCGCGCGUAGCUUGUAUGAUCUCGCCCUUAUAUGUUGCAACGCCUUGAACUUAUCGGCACCUCCUUUCUUGUGGUGGAAAUGAAUGAUUCGAUGUAUUCAUGAACAUUUUGUGCAGUUCCCAUUGAAAUCAAGCUGAGCACCCCUGUUUGCACAAAUACAAAAAAGUGAUUAGUAUAAAGCAAACUGUACUAUGAAUUGAUAGUUUAAACAGGCACCUACAUGGUCCAUGUAGAGCACACUUUUAGAAAAAUGGAACUCACCAGAAAGAAUCCUAGAAUAACAUUGUACACGCUCAUCACAGCAAAAAAUGGAGAUUUGUCAGUCCUUCUGAGCUGAAGUUAGUUUGUCUUGUGGGGAGUAAUGUAACCACCCUUCAACUGCUCCUUCUGAUGAGAAGAUAGACAGGGCUUCUUCAUCCUGGCAUAAUCGGAACUAGUCACUUCACGUACUCCAUAUUCUUCUUCAGAGAAUGAUGAUCCUAUUGUGCAAAGACAAGAGGACUACUAAAUGCUAGCAUCCCUAUUUGCUCGAAAAAAAGGAAAGGAAAUAUUUAAAACAGCACAGAUGAAGCACUUCUCAAGGACAAUACCACCUUUUCAUGAUAGUAUCUAAACAGUAGCACAACACCAAUAGAGAUGACAAAGCUCAAUCAUGUGGAUGAAAUCAGUGGGCGAGUACCAACCUUUGUCAUGAAGCUUAUUGUGUAGAGCAUACAGAUGAAGCACUUCUCCGGAACCAUCUGUUGCUAUCUACUGUGGUGGCCAUGCUUACUAUAUACUCCUCAAUUAGUUUAAUGUUUCCAACAUCUUCUUGUGCAGUUCCACUAAAAUAUAUGGUAUCUUCAAAGAAGAUCCCUGUUUGCACAAGUAGAGAUAAUUACGUAUUACAUUAAGAGUGUCAUCAAAUCAGUGGCAAAACAAUUGCUCGUUCCAGCCAUAGCAAUAAAUUAAGAUGCAAAACUAUAUCAUUACUUGUGUCAUCACAGUUCCAGUGCUUCAUUACGGCACCGGGAGUUGAUUUUUGUUUUUCCGCUUGUUCUUCCCCUUCAUCAAUUGGUUCAAUAACAGACAAGCUUCGCCUUCAAUGUAAGAUUUGGCAUGUCAAUUAGGGAGCAGAAGUAUAGCACUAAACAAUGACAUUAAUUUUCUGAUGAAAGUGGCAAAAUACAGGCCAAUAGUUGUGAAAUAUCCUUAUCUUACCUCAAUGGGAUAUUAUGGUGCACAUACAAAUUGGAAGUCUUGUCUCCAUUUGUGCAGUUCACAAAAAUCAAGCAACAUUACCAUACAAGUAGCACAACAUAUGAAAGCACACUGCAGAAUCAUGUGAAAGAAGGCUAGUACUGACCUCUCACGAUGCGGAAUUCAAACAACUCACAAGAAGAAGAUCUGAACCAAAUUCGCCAACAUGGAUAGGAAGUAAGAUCUCCUCUUGUGCAGUUCCACUAAGAUCAAGCAAUCAAGCAACGUUGUCGGUGUGAAAUUUUGGUUGAACUGCACAAAACACUCUUAAAACAAAAGUGUUUUGUGCAGUGCAACAAAAGGUCACAAUGGCAACGAGGUCAAGUAGAUAACCCUGUUUACAUAGAGGUGCAAAGGAAACAACUAGUGGUCAAUAACGGUGGAUGACACAUAAGCCAACAAAAAGAAGCACCUACCUUAUCUAGAUGGGAAAGAAAGCAAGACAGUAUCAUUUCUCAAAUGGUGGCAUUGAUUAAUAUUAACAUAGAGAUUAUAUUAACAAUAAAAUUCAUUAAACAUGUAAUUUGCUUUUAACUGUGGCACUGCAUCAAUUUUCCAGCGGCAUUAUUAGAGGGUGUUUGUUUACAGGGACAUUUUGGUGUAGGGACUAAAAAAACUCCGUGUUAGUCCCAUCUAAACCAAGAAGGAUGGACUUUUAGGGACUAAAAGUGGGCAUUUUUGGGACUAAAGAAAGAAGACCCUGAGGGAGUCUUUUUGGGACUUUUUCCAACAGUUGCCCCUGCCACGCAUUGCACCUUGUCUCUAUUAGUUCAUUACUAGGGGUAAGAUGGUAUUUUAGCAUGUCAUUUAAUAACCUCUAGUCCAUGUUUAGUCCCUGGAACCAAGCAUGUAGGGACUAGGGAGUUUUUUUAAUCAAACAGGGCCUUAGAUUAACAACAACUAAAGAGUUGCACGGGACAGUGGACACACCAGCACCAUGUGCAUCUACCGAUGUACUGUGGUCAUGCACAGUCUAUUGCAACAAAGAACAAACAACCAAGGAGCAUAUUUGUGUUGGUCCUAAUUUUGUUAUCUUUAGACACCUUUCCCUAUGUGAGCGCAACAAAUCUAGUCCUGCUCAAACUCUACACCCUUGUCCUCCAAAACAAAAGAUCAGUUCGUUACAGAUGUGCGUACUGCGUUUGUCAUUGUUUUCCCUUUUCGACCAACGUAGGUGCUGGAUAGCCAGUCUGUACUAGUACUUUCGCCCCUUCCUUUCCUCUUUGAACCACGUCCUAGAUUUAUGUGAUACAACUUUCCCACUACUUUCCCACACUCCUUUCCUCUUUGAACCACGUCCUAGAUUCCUGGUAUACAUGCAGCUAGAGCAAUGCAUGUGGAAUAAGUAAAUUAUACCUUAAGGUUCUUGGGGCAUGGUUCGGUGGGCGUCGGGACAGCGGCGAAGAAGAAGGGGUUGGCGGCCCUCCCGCGCCGCCGCUGGGUGAAAGUGAACAGCUGCGCCGGUAGUGGAUUCCCUCCCUCGCUGACGGCGACAAUGUUAAGCCUCCUUCCCUUCUUGGCGGACGGAUCCUGUCGGCUCUUUGAGCAGCAGUUAGGGGAGAGAGAGGCCAAUGAAGUCUUGUUUAGAUCUGGAGAGGGUGAGAGAGUGUGAAGAGAGCAACUACAAGUGCCGAGGCUCCAGCGUCUAUAUAUAUACUAGAGAGAGAGUGUGAAGUGUGCAAACCCUAGAAAACAAGCGCCGAGGCUACAACUUAUAGAGUACGUGAUGAGGUGAUUAUACGGUCACUACGAGAUCGUAUAGCUCCGAAUCCAUCCAUUUUGAACAAUCAAAGAAUCCUCCUGGCACAAAUUAUGCUCAAGUGUAGUUAUCGAACCCGAGACCUCAAGUUUUUUUUGAGUGGAACCCGAGACCUCAAGUUUGAUGAGCGAACAGACUAACUAACUACACAACCCUCCCGUUAUGUUCAACGAGAGGAAAAUAACCUUUUAUACAUUCCUGGAUUCGUGUGACAAGCAUGCCGUGUUUUUUUGUGUGUGGGAGUCAUUGGGAUUUAAAUCAUAAUCGUGUCAUGUGGCUUUGGUGGUAAGACUAUCCACUGUGGUGCAAAAAUAAUGCAGCCUUAGUCACCUUACCUCUCUCCACGUAGUACGUUGGGUCCAACCAGUCAGAGGGUGAAACAAAAAAAUUAAUAAGAAAAAAUAAAAGCGCCAGCGGUGUAUCUUACCUCACACAUCUCGCUACUGCUCGGGAACACUGUCCAAUUGAUCCCUCUGUUCGCUCACGUACUAUUUUAAGUGAAUCCUUAUUAUAACAUGCACACCAUUUUGGGCACUUGUAUUCGACCUAAGUCAGUGUGCCACUGAUGACCCACAAGUAUAGGGGAUCUAUCAUAGUCCUUUCGAUAAGUAAGAGUGUCGAACCCAACGAGGAGCAGAAGGAAAUGAUAAGCGGUUUUCAGCAAGGUAUUCUCUGCAAGUACUGAAAUAACUGGUAACAGAUAGUUUUGUGAUAAGAUAAAUGGUAACGAGCAACAAGUAACAAAAGUAAAUAAAGUGCAGCAAGGUGGCCCAAUCCUUUUUGUAGCAAAGGACAAGCCACUAGAGGUUAGACAACAUACAUCUUAUCAAAAUAUCGAACGAAUACCAAAUUCACAUGACUACUAAUAGCAAGACUUCUCCCUUGUCCUCAGGAACAAACGUAACUACUCACAAAGCAUAUUCAUGUUCAUAAUCGGAGGGGUAAUAAUAUGCAUAAAGGAUCUGAACAUAUGAUCUUCCACCAAAUAAACCAACUAGCAUCAACUACAAAGAGUAAUCAACACUACUAGCAACCUACUAGCACCAAUCCCGGACUUGGAGACAAGAAUUGGAUACAAGAGAUGAACUAGGGUUUGGAGAUGAGAUGGUGCUGGUGAAGAUGUUGAUGGAGAUUGCCCUCUCUCAAUGAGAGGAGCGUUGGUGAUGAUGAUGGCGAUGAUUUCCCCCUCCCGGAGGGAAGUGUCCCCGGCAGAACAGCUCUGCCGGAGCCCUAGAUUGGUUCAGCCAAGGUUCCGCCUCGUGGUGGCGGAGUCUCGUCCCGAAAGGUUUCUUCCUAUUUUUUUUCUCAUCGAAAGACUUCAUAUAGGAGAAGAUGGGCGUCAGAGAGCCACCAGGGGGCCCAUGAGGUAGGGGGGCAUGCCCCCCACCCUCGUGAGCAGGGUGUGGGCCCCUGGCCUUCAUCUUUGGCGACGAUUUUUCUUUAUUUAUUUUAAGAUAUUCCGUGGAGUUUCAGGACUUUUGGAGUUGCGCAGAAUAGGCCUCCAAUAUUUGCUCCUUUCCCAGCCAGAAUUCCGGCUGCCGGCAUUCCCCCUCUUCAUGGUAAACCUUGUAAAAUAAGAGAGAAUAGCCAUAAGUAUUGUGACGUAUCGUGAAAUAACAGCCCAUAAUGCGAUAAAUAUCGAUAUAAAAGCAUGAUGCAAAAUGGACGUAUCAACUCCCCCAAGCUUUGACCUCGCUUGUCCUCAAGCGAAAAGCCGAUAACAAUAAAUAUGUCCUCAUGUUUAGAAGUAGAGGCGUCGAUAAAAAUAAAAUACGGACAUGAAGGCAUCAUGAUUAUUUUCAUAACAACAACAUAUAUAGAUUUGUCAUAUGAUUACUUAUGUUCAAGUGAUGAUCUUUUCACAAAGCCAAAGUAUGAAUCAUAAACCUUAUUGAGCACCAACAAUUUAUACCCUCAGUCAUUGAAGCAAUUGCAAUUUAUCAUAACAUCGGAAAGAGUCUAUGUUAGAGCUUAAAAGCAAGUCCACAUACUCAACUAUCACUUAGUCCUUCAUAAUUGCUAACACUCACACGAUACUUGUGGUUAUGGAGUUUUAAUCGGACACAGAGAAAGGUAGGGGUUAUAGUUUUUCCCCACAACCUUUUACCUCAAGGGUAAUGUCAACAAUAAUAAUUCACGCUCCCCCACAUCCAAUUAGAUAUAUGUAUCAUGUUCUUUCCAACAUGCGGAGCUUGCCAAAGGAUAAAAUGAAAAAGGAAAGGUGAAGAUCACCGUCACUCUUGCAUAAGGUAGAGGAUAAUAAUAAAAGAUAGGCCCUUCGCAGAGGGAAGCAGAGGGUGCCAUGCGCUUUUAUGGUUGGAUGCACAAAAUCUUAAUGCAAAAGAACGUCACUUCAUAUUGCCCCAUGUAUGUGAACCUUUAUUAUGCAGUCCAUUGCUUUUAUUGCGUCCACAACAAGUUCGUACAAAGCUUAUUUCUCUGCACUAAUAAGUCAUGCAUAUUUAAAGAGCAAUUUUUAUUGCUUGCACCGAUGACAACUUACUUGAAGGAUCUUACUCAAUCCAUAGGUAGAUAUGGUGGACUCUCAUGGCUAAACUGGUUUAAGGGUAUUUGGAAGCACAAGUAGUAUCUCUACUUGGUGCUGAGAAUUUGGCUAGCAUAAGGGGGAAAGGCAAGCUCAACACGGUAGAGGAUCCAUGACAACAUACUUUAUCUCGGAUGUAAGAAAACAUAACUCAUUAUGUUGUCUUCCUUGUCCAACCUCAACUCUUUAGCAUGUCAAAUUUUAAUGAGUGCUCCCAAUCAUAAAAGAUGUCAAUGAUAAUAUAUCUAUAUGUGAAACUUCUCUUUCCUUAUUACUUCCUAUUAAUUGCAACGAUGACCAAAGCUAUAUUUGCCAACUCCCAACAACUUUUAAUCAUCAUACUCUUUCUAUGUGAAGUCAUUACUUUCAACAAGAUCAAUAUGAACUCUUUGAUUCUUUUUAUUCCUUUUUUUUCUAAUCACCCAAGAUCAUGGCAAAGUAAUCAAGCCCUUGACUCAACACUAAUCUUUAUUAUAUAUAGCUCACAGACUCGAUUGCAUAGAGGGAUAAUAAAGCAAAACUCAAAACUAGAUCGUGCCAUGACUUUAUUCUACUAAAUCAAGAUACUACUAAUAGGAUCGAACUAAAAAAACGGUAAAGAUAGGAGUUGUGAUGGUGAUACGAUACCGGGGCACCUCCCUCAAGCUUGGGAGUUUCCAAGGGGAGUGCCCAUACCCAUGUGAUUAUGUCUCCUUCUUUGUUGUUGGCGGUGGAGGUGUUGUUGAUGAUGCAAGCUUGUCGUCCACCUUCCAUGGCAUAGGCCCACCCUCAUAGAAGGAUGAUCGAGUCUCCGGAAUCCUCCGAUCUGCAACGGAAACAACUCAAAACAAAAACAGAGGAUAUCUGCGUGAUAGGGUCGUCAAAACCUUCUGGAGAAUAUAUAAUGAAUUUUUACCGACCAAAAUACGUAUCGUGCAAGAAAACGGAGUCCGGAGGGCACACGAGGUGCUCAUGAGGUAGGGGGGCACGCCCAGAGGGGUAGGGCGCGCCCUCCACCCUCGUGGAGGCCUCGUGUCCUCCUCGGACUGCUACUUAUUUUUCUAUUUUUCUAAAUAUUCCAAAACGGAGAAAUAUUGCCUUAGAAUUUAUUUUGGGGUCAGUUUACUUACCGUACCACAUACCUAUUCCUUUUCGAAGUUUGGAACAUUCUGGAAAGUGUCCCUUAUGUAUUCCUCCGGGGUUACGGUUUCAAUAAUAUUAGUUUCAACAUUUAUAGGAUUACCUGAGAUGUAGUGUUUGAUCCUUUGACCGUUUACCACCUUCGGAUUUGUGCCUUCGAAGUUGUUGAUUUUUAUGGCACCAGAACGAUAGACCUCCUUGAUAACGUAAGGGCCUUCCCAUUUAGAGAGAAGCUUUCCUGCAAAAAAUCUUAAACGAGAGUUGUAUAGCAAUACAUAAUCACCUACAUUAAACUCACGCUUUUGUAUCCUUUUGUCAUGCCAUCUUUUAACUUUUUCUUUAAACAACUUGGCAUUUUCAUAGGCUUGGGUUCUCCAUUCAUCAAGUGAGCUAAUAUCAAAUAACCUCUUCUCACCAGCAAGUUUGAAACCAUAGUUGAGCUCUUUAAUAGCCCAAUAUGCCUUAUGUUCUAGUUCAAGAGGUAAGUUACAUGCUUUUCCAUAAACCAUUUUAUACGGAGACAUACCCAUAGGAUUCUUAUAUGCAGUUCUAUAGGCCCAUAAUGCAUCAUCAAGUUUCUUGGACCAAUUCUUUCUAGACCUAUUAUAAGUCUUUUGCAAAAUUAAUUUGAGCCCUCUAUUACUCAAUUCUACCUGACCACUAGACUGCGGGUGAUAAGGAGAUGCAAUUCUAGGAUUAACAUCAUAUUUAGCAAGCAUCUUACGGAAAGCACCAUGAAUAAAGUGUGAACCACCAUCAGUCAUUAAGUAUCUAGGGACUCCAAACCUCGGAAAAAUAACUUCCUUAAGCAUUUUAAUAGAAGUGUUAUGAUCAGCACUACUAGUUGGAAUAGCUUCUACCCACUUAGUAACGUAAUCAACAGCAACUAGAAUAUGAGUGUAACCAUUAGAGGCAGGAAAAGGUCCCAUAUAAUCAAAGUCCCAAACAUCAAAUGGCUCAAUAGCAAGUGAAUAAUUCAUAGGCAUUUCUUGACGUCUACUGAUAUUACCAAUUCUUUGACAUUCAUCGCAAGAUAAAACAAACUUACGGGCAUCCUUGAAGAGAGUAGGCCAAUAAAAACCGGAUUGCAAUACCUUAUGUGCAGUUCUAUCUCUAGCGUGGUGUCAUCCAUAGGCUUCGGAGUGACACUUGCGUAGGAUCUGUUCCUGUUCAUGCUCAGGUACACAACGUGUAAUAACACCAUCUACUCCUUCUUUAUAAAGAUGUGGGUCAUCCCAAAAGUAAUGUCGCAAGUCAUAGAAAAACUUUUUCUUUUAUUGGUAUGUGAAGCUAGGCGGUAUAAAUUUAGCAACAAUAUAAUUACAUAAUCAGCAUACCACAGAGUGCUACGAGAAGUACUUAUGACAUUUAAUUGCUCAUCAGGAAAGCUAUCAUCAAUAGGUAGUGGGUCAUUUAGAACAUUCUCUAGCCUAGACAAGUUGUCUGCAACGGGGUUCUCAGCUCCUUUUCUAUCAACAAUAUGUAAAUCAAAUUCUUGGAGCAAGAGGACCCAUCUAAUGAGUCUAGGUUUUGCAUCUUUCUUUUCCAUAAGAUAUUUAAUAGCAGCAUGAUCUGUAUGAAUAGUUACUCUAGAAUCAAUAAUAUAGGGUUUGAAUUUAUCACAAGCAAAUACAACCGCUAAAAGUUCCUUUUCGGUAGUAGCAUAAUUUCUUUGAGCAUUGUCUAGAGUCUUACUAGCAUAAUGGAUAACAUUUAAUUUCUUAUCAACUCUUUGCCCUAGAACAACACCUACAGCAUAAUCACUAGCAUCACACAUAAUUUCAAAAGGGAAAUUCCAAUCAGGUGGCUGAACAAUAGGUGCAGAGACUAAUGCUUUCUUAAGUAUUUCAAAUGCUUCUACACAAUCAUCAUCAAAGACAAAUGGUACAUCUUUUUGUAAUAAAUUAGUCAGAGGCCGAGAGAUUUUUGAGAAGUCCUUAAUGAACCUCCUAUAAAAUCCGGCGUGACCAAGGAAACUUCUUAUACCUUUGAUGUCCUUGGGACAUGUCAUCUUUUCAAUAGCAUCAACCUUGGCUUUAUCGACUUCAAUACCUCUUUCAGAAACAUUGUGCCCCAAGACAAUACCUUCAUUAACCAUAAAGUGGUACUUUUCCCAAUUCAGGACAAGAUUAGUUUCUUCACAUCUCUGCAAAACUCGAGCAAGAUUGCUCAAGCAAUCAUCAAAAGAGGAACCAUAGACGGAAAAGUCAUCCAUGAAAACCUCACAAAUUUUCUCGCAAAAGUCAAAGAAUAUAGCCAUCAUUCAUCUUUGAAAGGUAGCAGGUGCAUUACAUAAACCAAAAGGCAUACGUCUAUAAGCAAAAGUACCAAAACGGCAUGUAAAAGUAGUCUUUUAUUGAUCCUUAGCCGACCCAGGUAUUUGAGAAAAACCAGAAUAACCAUCUAGAAAGCAAUAGUGUGUAUGUUUGCAUAAUAUUUCUAGCAUUUGAUCAAUAAAAGGUAAGGGGUAAUGAUCUUUCUUAGUAGCCUUAUUUAGUUUGCGGAAAUCAAUUACCAUCCUAUAACUGUGAUAAUUCUUUGCGGAAUCAAUUCAUCUUUAUCAUUAGGGACAACAGUAAUACCUCCCUUCUUAGGGGCACAAUGGACAGGACUUACCCACUAACUAUCAGCAACGGGAUAAAUUAUACCUGCCUCCAGAAGCUUGAGUAUUUCCUUUCUUACCACUUAUUUCAUUUUAGGAUUCAAACAUCGUUGAGGAUCACAAACUGGUUUGGCAUCAGCUUCCAAAUUUAUUUUAUGUUGACAUAGGGUGGGACUGAUGCCCUUAAGAUCAUCCAGAGUAUAUCCAAUAGCAGAACAGUGCUUUUUCAGAAUUUUCAAUAAUCUUUCUUCUUCAUGCUCUGAAAGGUUAGCACUAAUAAUAACAUGAUAUAUUUUCUUUUCAUCAAGAUAAGUAUACUUAAGAUUAUCAGGCAACGGUUUAAGCUCAAACACGGGAUCACCCUUGGGUGGAGGAGGAUCCCCUAGGAUUUCAACAGGCAAAUUUGUUUCAGAAUAGGUUCUUGUUUAAAGAAUACUUCAUCUAAUUCCCUUCUUUCAUUCAUGAACAUCUCAUUUUCAUGGUCUAGCAAAUAAUGCUCUAAAGGAUCACUAGGAGGUACAGCAAUAGAAGCAAGACCAAUAAUUUCAUCCUUACUAGGCAAUUCUUCCUCACGAUGUUGUUUACUAAAUUUAGAGAAAUUAAACUCAUGAGCCAUAUCAUCCAAGCCAAUAGUAACAACUUUCUUUUCGCACUCUAUCUUAGCAUUAACAGUAUUCAAGAAGGGUCUACCAAAUAUAAUGGGACAAAAUCUAUCUUGUGGAGAACCAAGAACAAGAAAAUCAGCGGGAUAUUUGGUUUCCCACACAAGACUUCAACAUCUCUAACAAUUCCCAUUGCAGAUAUAGUAUCUCUAUUGGCAAGUUUAAUCGUAACAUCAAUAUCUUCUAACUCAGUAGGUGCGAUAUCAUGCAUAAUUUCUUUAUAUAAGUCAAUGGGUAUAACACUAGCACUAGAACCUAUAUCACAUAAGCCAUGAUAACAAUGAUCUCCUAUUUUAACAGAAAUAACAGCCACACCUACCACGGGUCUAUGUUUAUCUCUAUCACAGGGUUUAGCAAUUCUAGCAGUUUCACCAGAGAAUUCAAUGACAUGCCCAUCAAUAUUAUCGGACAAGAGAUCUUUAACAAUAGCAAUAUUAGGUUCUACUUUGACUUGCUCAGGAGGUGUAUAAGUUCUAGUAUUUCUUUUACGAACAACAGUUGAAGCUUUAGCAUGAUCCUUUACUCUAGCAGGGAAAGGUGGUUUCUCAACAUAAGAGGUGGGAACAAUAGGAUCAUUAUAAGUGAUGGUCUUUUCUUCAACUUUAAUAGGUGCAACUACUUUUACUUCUAUGGGAGAAUGAUAUUUAAACCACUUCUCCUUGGGGAGAUCAACAUAAGUAGCAAAAGAUUCACAGAAAGAAGCUACUAUAUCAGAGUCAAGUCCAUAUUUAGUGCUAAACUUGCGGAAAAUAUCGGUAUCCAUAAAAGAUUUAACACAAUCAAACUUAGGUGUCAUACCUGACUCCUUACCUUCGUCGAGGUCCCAAUCUUCAGAGUUGCGUUUAAUUCUAUCCAAUAAAUUCCAUCUGAAUUCAAUAGUCUUCAUCAUAAAAGAGCCAACACAAGAAGUGUCGAGCAUGGUUUGAUUAUUAUGAGAAAGCCGAGCAUAAAAAUUCCGGAGAAUUGUCAAUUUUGAGAGCUCAUGAUUGGGGCAUGAAUAUAACAUUUAUUUAAGCCUCCCCCAAGCUUGAGCGAUGCUUUCUCCUUUGCGAGGCCAAAAAUUAUAUAUAUAAUUACAAUCACGAUGAACAAGAUGCAUAGGGUAAUACUUUUGAUGAAAUUCCAAUUUCACUCUUUUAUAGUUCCAUGAUCUCGUAUCAUCACAUAGCCGAUACCAUGUCGAUGCGUCUCCCUCCAAAGAUAAAGGGAAAGCCUUCUUCUUAACAACAUCAUCGGGCAUACCUGCAAGCUUAAAUAAUCACAAAUAUCAUCCAAAUAGCGUAGAUGCUCGUCAGGAUGCUUUGUUCCAUCUCCUGUAAAAGUAUUAGCCAGCAAUUUUUCUAUAAUACCCGAAGGAAAUUCAAAAGGAGUUUCAUUUUCAAUAGGUUCAGUAGGUUGAGGAGCAACUCUUUGCUCUACUGGACGGGGUGAAGAUACCCCGAACAAGCCCCUCAGAGAUUCACUUUCCAUAGUAACAAGUGACAGAAAAUUGCAGCAUACUAUAUAAAUUUUUCCUUACCAAAUUCCACUUACCAAAGGAGCUACACUCCCCGGAAACGGCGCAAGAAAAGAGUCUUGAUGACCCACAAGUAUAGGGGAUCUAUCAUAGUCCUUUCCAUAAGUAAGAGUGUCGAACCCAACGAGGAGCAGAAGGAAAUGAUAAGCGGUUUUCAGCAAGGUAUUCUCUGCAAGUACUGAAAUAAGUGGUAACAGAUAGUUUUGUGAUAAGAUAAAUGGUAACGAGCAACAAGUAACAAAAGUAAAUAAAGUGCAGCAAGGUGGCCCAAUCCUUUUUGUAGCAAAGGACAAGCCUGGACAAACUCUUAUAAUAGGAAAAGAGCUCCUGAGGACACAUGGGAAUAUCAUCAAGCUAGUUUUCAUCACGCUCAUAUGAUUCGCGUUUGGUACUUUGAUAAUUUGAUAUGUGGGUGGACCGGUGCUUGGGUACUGCCCUUACUUGGACACGCAUCCCACUUAUGAUUAACCUCUAUUGCAAGCAUCCGCAACUACAACAAAAAUAUUAAGGUAAACCUAACCAUAACAUGAAACAUAUGGAUCCAAAUCAGCCCCUUACGAAGCAACACAUAAACUAGGGUUUAAGCUUCUGUCACUCUAGCAACCCAUCAUCUACUUAUUACUUCCCAAUGUCUUCCUCUAGGCCCAAAUAAUGGUCAAGUGUUAUGUAGUCGACGUUCACAUAACACCACUAGAGGUUAGACAACAUACAUCUUAUCAAAAUAUCGAACGAAUACCAAAUUCACAUGACUACUAAUAGCAAGACUUCUCCCUUGUCCUCAGGAACAAACAUAACUACUCACAAAGCAUAUUCAUGUCCAUAAUCAGAGGGGUAAUAAUAUGCAUAAAGGAUCUGAACAUAUGAUCUUCCACCAAAUAAACCAACUAGCAUCAACUACAAAGGGUAAUCAACACUACUAGCAACCUACUAGCACCAAUCCCGGACUUGGAGACAAGAAUUGGAUACAAGAGAUGAACUAGGGUUUGGAGAUGAGAUGGUGUUGGUGAAGAUGUUGAUAGAGAUUUCCCUCUCCCGAUGAGAGGAGCGUUGGUGAUGAUGAUGGCGAUGAUUUCCCCCUCCCGAAGGGAAGUGUCCCCGGCAGAACAGCUCUGCCGGAGCCCUAGAUUGGUUCCGCCAAGGUUCCGCCUCGUGGCGGCGGAGUCUUGUCCCAAAAGGUUUCUUCCUAUUUUUUUUCUCAUCGAAAGACUUCAUAUAGGAGAAGAUGGGCGUCGGAGAGCCACCAGGGGGCCCACGAGGUACGGGGGUGCGCCCAGGGGGGAGGGGCGCACCCCACCCUAGUGAGCAGGGUGUGGGCCCCCUGUUCCUUCAUCUUUGGCGACGAUUUUUCUUUAUUUAUUUUAAGAUAUUCCGUGGAGUUUCUGGACUUUUGGAGUUGCGCAGAAUAGGUCUCCAAUAUUUGCUCCUUUCCCAGCCAGAAUUCCGGCUGCCGGUAUUCCCCCUCUUCAUGGUAAACCUUGUAAAAUAAGAGAGAAUAGCCAUAAGUAUUGUGACAUAUCGUGAAAUAACAGCCCAUAAUGCGAUAAAUAUCGAUAUAAAAGCAUGUUGCAAAAUGGACGUAUCAGCCACCGUAUCUCGUACUUACUACUCCCUCCGCCUUGGUGUAAUAAGUCACAUUAGUAGGUGCAGCGGGACCAAGGUGCGUGUGUGUGUGUGUGUGUGUGUGUGUGUGUUUAACAACAUGUGUGUGUUAGAGAGAGCGACAGAUCGACCUACUCCUACAGAGAGAUUGUGUGUAGUGUACGAUUUUAGCCACGAGAGUCGGUGCAUCCUCUUGUUUCCGGGCGUGUCCGGUAGGGAUAGGAGGACAACUGCCAUGCCCGCUCCUCACCAGCUUGGCCCACCCAAAGCCCCUCCAUCGCCCGCGCGCGCUUCCCACCCAAAACGGUCAGCGCCACUCCAAAGAAUCGGUGCCGCAUUCAUGCCCGGGCAGAGUGGACACGACCUCUGAAUGGCGCAAGAGUGAUGGUUGCUUCGUCCGUCCAACUUACUGCUGGGUCUAUGUGAUUUGACGGCUCAUUGGUCUUUAUUACUGAGGUCGUAGGACUGCUGGAUGUCCCAUGCUUUCGGCGAAAGGAGGUACUACUAGAUUACAAUUUUCUCCGUUCUUACAGUGGAGGAGUGCAAGAGCAGUGAAAACACGCAUGCUCAGUGAUUACAUGGCCCACCUCACACUAUCACCAUAUUUUCUGGACACCGUGCGACACCUAACUCUUUACAUAGUACUCCCUCCGUUCCUAAAUACUACUAGAUGAGUCCCCGCGUGUUGCCGCGGAACAGCCGUAUAUCUCUCUGCGUAAAAUUAUCGAUUUCAUAGAACUAAAGAAAACUCUAUAACUGCAUGACAAAUGUGGUAGCCAAACUAAAAUUUUUCUUUUUGACAUGUUAAUGGGACUUAAAAUCUCACUUACAUGCAUGCUACCGGUGCAUGCUUGUGUGCAGACAUGUUGAUGUGAUUUAAAACACACUCACAUGCAUGCCACGGUAUUUCUGCAUGCUUUCAUGUGGCUUAGUGCGGAGCCUCUCAACGUCUAGAUCAGACGACUAUUAUGGACUGAUUUAGUUCAUCCAACGGCUACAUUAAUUUUAAUGAUGUGGCUCAAGGAGAGGAUAGUGAAUUCCUAGUAGUGGGGGCUAGCUAUUACUAGUAGAUAAGUCUUUGUAGCGAUUCCACUAGGUGAACUACAUACAGAACAAAAUGAAUGAAUCUACACUUCAAAUGCAUCUAUAUACAUCCGCAUGUGGUUCAUGGUAAAAUUUCUACAAAGACUUAUAUUUAGGAACGGAGGAAGUACUAGUAUAGUACGUACUGUAAUUUAUCAGCGAGAUAAAUUUGUACAAUGCUAUGAAGCUUCCAGCUUCUGUUACAUGUAUCUUGCGUCCAAGGUUGCCCGUUGCAACAUUUCAUCAAAUACAAAGGAGACUAACAUGCAUGCUAUUGCAUCUCAAUGAUUGACAGAUCAUAGCAAAUAUGUACUCCCUCCAUUCCAAAAUAAGUGUCUCAACUUUAUGCAAACUUUAGUACAAAGUUGUACUACUACUAAAGUUGACACUUAUUUUGGAACAAAGGCAACUAAAGAAAAAAAUGAUCCAUGCAGUCCUUAGCCCUUGAAUCGUGAAUCCUAACCAUGCUUCAAUUUGCUGGCAACGUUCGAGCUUCCUAAGAAAUGAAGUUUGCAACCUUUUGACCAUUGGAUCAUUUUGUGAAGUUUCACCAAAAUCGAGAUGAGCAUCCCUGUGGCAAAGAAAUUGAAGAAGCGUGAUUAGAAUAAGAUUACUGGGACUAGUUGAUGAGACAUAAACUCAUCACAAAUACAGUAUGUAGAAGCCAGUAGAGGUAUGUGCAGGGCAAAGAAGUAGAGAAAUAUCCACAUGGAGUGAUGUGGGCAGCUGGAGCAGUGGUGCAAGCCGGCUGUAAAGGGAGUUGUACCUGAGGGACGUAGCUCAACCUUGAGGAGGGUGGCGGGAGGCGGCAACUGCCCAUGUUGCGGCAGUGAGCAAGGGACGAGGCAACCUCACUGUCUUUUUGAGAGAGAACGGCGGGGACCCCUGAUCGGGACGUGCCGACAGUGGGUUUUCGCUGUCGGCGACGGCGACCGCAUCUACACUAAGCAUCCACCCCUUCCCCCGGCGGACGUGAUCCGCCGAGAUAUUAGAGAUGUGGCCGCAGUCAUUUUGUGCGAGAGAGUGUGAAGAGAGCAACCCCAGCAAGCAACCGUGUAGGCUGGCUCGUCCUGACUAUGUAUAUAGUGGAGCGGUUUCCUUUUGUCUCCAAUGAACCUAUCAUAUUGCGUACAUGCCACUGAAGAAAAAAAACUUUAUUUAUAAAUGACGCAGCACCUACUACUCGUUCUCCUAUAACCUUGCGCCUGGCAUCUCCAAAAUAUUAACCUUGCGAUUGGCUGUUCGCCUCUUCGGGAAGUCGAGCAAUAAUGGUAGUGCGGUGUAUAUCGUUCUGGCUAUAUGAGACCGAAUGAAUUGCUGCACAUCCUCCAUGUGGGCGAGGGUCGAGGGGCGAGGGAGAGUGCUAUAUACGGAGCAAAAUGAGUGAAUCUACACUCUAAAAUACGUCUGUAUACAUCAGUGUUUGGAGUAUCACUACAAAAAAAUACACUUCCGUGAUGGUACGUGUUUGUCACAGUAGGUCGUGUUUUUUGUCAUGCAUGUACAUCCAUGACAAAUUUGUGAUAGAAUCAAGAUAGUCAUACCCGUGCUGUCGUAGAAGUGUUCCAUGACAUUACCAAUAUUAACAUCACGGAAGUGUCCACUUCCAUGACGAUAAAUCGCGCGUCACAGAAGUGCUUUCGUCAAGAGUGACCGACACGUGGCAUCCACCGUAACGGAACGCCGUUAAGCUAUCGGGUCGGGUUUUGGAUCCGAUAACCCGUUAACAGCCCCGACAAAUGGGGAUUUUCCACGUGUAAAAUCAUCAUUGGCUGGAGGAAACACGUGUCGGCUCGUUGUUGGGACAGAUGUCAUCCACACAUUGGACAGAAGGCGCCUAUGAUAUGUCAACACAUGGCACGACCCAACAGAGGCCCAUUCCUGUUUAAAGGCCGGCCUGUUUGACUUGGUCAAAAGGUGACGGGCUGGCCCAUGGAAAGCCUGUUAACGGCCUGUUCGCAUAUAGCCCAUUUACAGCCCGCUAACCCAAGGCCCAUUACGCCCUAUCCGAAUUAGGCCCAGUAGCAUCAUCUGGGCCAUCCAAUAUGAUUCUAGCCCAUUUUCACUUCUGGCCCAUGUAUGGCCCAUGACGUCUUUCGGCCCAUAUGAGGCCCUAUGUAACUCUUGGCCUAUUAAUGACCCAUGGUGAAACUGGCCUGCAAUGAACAGUGUAUCACUUUAGACCCAUUAACGGCCCAUGGUGAAACUGGCCCGUAAUGAACAGUGUAUCACUUUAUACCCAUUAAGGGCCCGUUAUUCAGUUGGGCCGUUUCCAGCCCAUGUUAUCUUUCGGCCUUCUCAGAUCCCAUUUAUUAUUGGGCUCAUUUCGAGCAUUCGUUUACUUACGGCCUGUUAGUGUCAUUUUCUGCUUGUGGGCCAAAUUCAGCCCGUGGUUAUAGUCGGCCCGUUUGUGGUCCGUUAAUACAUUGGGCCGUUUUCAUAGCGUCAUCAAAUACAGCCUAUUAACGAUGGCCCGUCAUGGUCAGCCCAUGAACGGACGAUUCCAACUCUAGCCCAUUUACGGCCAUAAUACGGCCUGUUAUGGGCCCAUGUUUGGCCAAUCGAUCAUACGGCCCGUAUAAGGCCCAUUGAUGGUACGGCCCGUAGAAGGCCCAUUGUUUCUACGGCCCGUAGAACGCCGAAUGUUUCUACGGCCCGUAGAAGGCCUACUGUUUCUACGGCCCGUAGAAGGCCCACUGUUUCUACGGCCCGUAGGAGAACCAGUGUCACUACAGUAAAUAUUAGCCCAUGGUUAUUGUGGCCUAGUUUUAAAAAAUAGGUUAUUGCAGCCACUAGCAAACCGCGGAAAAAGAACUGCACUGACUACAAGCAAACAAAUAAACAAGACAACAAGGAAAUAAAUAAGCAAGCAACUUAUGCUAGGCUAUCACGGCUAUUACACAUAUUACAUCCACUGGGCAUCAAAGUUCAUCACCAGUGCAAAUAUAGGGAACACAUCAGCAUAUAAACGCCGCAGCAAAACAAGUCCAAAACUGAAACCACUUCAGAAGAGUUCAAGAAAAAAUAUCCUGGGUACCCAUAAUGCUGGCAAGAUGCUUAACAAGCUUAUUAACUUUCUCUUGUUUGGCGCUUAAAUCCUCCAGCGCUUGCUGUUGCACAAGAAAGUACGCAUCUGAAUUCAGCAGGGACUUCCUCAGUCCUUCGGCUUCUUGCCGCAACACAGCUGACUGAUGCCUUUCAGCUUGUAGCUGAGACUGAAGAAGCCGAAGUGAUUCAGGCAGCGAGUUCGAAGAGCUUGUGCCAGCGGUACUGGCCAGUAACUCGAACACUAGACCAACGCAGGACUGUGGGGUUUUCUCACUGUUUACAAGAUCGUUUUUAUCACCUUUCUUGGAGACCAACAGGGUUGUCUCACUAUCUUGAACCUUAUCUGCAUUACUUUCUCUACCAUUGCAUAGUGGGGUGCUUUCUCCAAUAUUCUGUUUGCAUACUACAAGAGAAACAAGUAGACACAUCAUAGGUUUAGCUUGUAGUAUACAAAACUCAUUUUGGUAAACCGGUUCAGUAGUAAGGUGGACAAGAUAACAACAUGAAACAAACAUAUAUCUAUGUACUAUGGUCACUGUAUUGUCCAUAUCAUUCUAGUUUAUGUUCCCUAAUCAAGAUAGAGACACAGUUCAACUCAUAUAUUUUUAAGACACAACAUCAUAGACAGAAUAUAAGUGUGAGAAACUACACAUCAUUGGCAGCACUUGUAGUGUGCAUCACAUGAGAACAUAAUUGUUUAUACAACUUAAACAGAAAUCAACAUAGAGCAAGAAUUUAGAACAUCAAUCCAGUUAAAGAAAUAGGUUGAAAACAUACCUGUUGCGCCAUUGGAGUUUGAAUUGGAUCCUUCAAAUUCGAAAGUAGUUGGUAUGAGUAAAUACAGUGAUGCAACAGCAAAGGAGUAUGGACCAUAGCUACGGAAUCUGACCUGAGAACAAUUGCUCUUCUGCUUUAAACUUGGAGUUUGGGUUAGCUGUGGUGGUAUUCAUGCUUUGGGCACUGCAGUAGCUUUAUAAACUGCUCGUGUGGGGGUACUCUGUGGUGGACAUGGUGCUUUGUCAACUAUAAGUGGGUUACUAUCCGCUGGGGUUGCGGUUAGAUGGGUUGUAGCUGGUUCUCUGCCCAACGGUGUAAGUGUGCAAUCUGGAAGAGUCUCGAUUAUGUGUGGUGGGGCUAGUUUGUGGGCCAGUACAACCAUGGUUCUAUCUGCAUCAACGGGUAGCAUUGUCUUUUCUGAAGAUCGGGUUUUUGCUCCCUUAGAUACUGCCAUCAACCCCUCCAAUUCAAAUGUCUGAUAAACAAGAAAAGAAAUUGAAAGUACAUACAUUGUAUGAUAGACAGAUGUGGUAGUUCACAUAUAUGUUGUCUAACCAAAUAGGACAUCAUGACACAAUUUCACAUAUAUGAUGCCUAACUAAACAGGAUAGCAUGACACAGUUUCAGAUAUAUGAUGGAUAACUUAACAGGAUAUAAUGGCAUAAUUCAACAUAUGAUGAGUACCUAAACAGGAUGCCAUGACAAAACUAUAUGAUGUCUUUCUAAAAUAGGUUGGGAUGAAACAAUUCACAUACAUGUUGUCUAAGUAUACAAGAUGGCAUGAUAUAAUUGACAUAAUUGAUUCAUAUACUAAGCAGCUGGCACUCGCAUGUAUGAUCUCUAAACUAAGCAGAUAGAAUUCAAUAUUGUGCAUAUGAUGUCUAAACUAAGCAAUGCAAGACACCAUAUGCAUCAUAUGAGAAAUAUAACAUUGCAACUUAGAGCAUACACCUCAGGUGGGAUAUAGGACUGGUCAUCUCUCUCUGAAUCCUCCUCUAAGGAGCUCCCUGUAACCAUCGAGAUAUAUGCUUCAAUAUGUACCAUUGCCUGCUCUGAAGACCUUGUUUUCACUCUAGAUUUUUCCAUAACCGGCUCAAAUGGCUGAUACACAUGAAGAGUAGUUCAAUAUACACAGAUUGUCGACAAAUGGAAUACGUAAUGAAAAAAAAUAUGGCAUGAGAUAAUUCACAUAUAUGAUGCCUGGCUCCAUGGCGGUGCAUAAUUCACAUAUAUGAUAACUGGCUGAAAAACAUGGCAUUGCAUAAUUCACAUAUCUGAUAUAGAAAGCAAACAGGAGGCAUUCACACAAAGCAUGUCUAAUCUAAGCAGAUGGCAUGGCAAUGCAAGACACCAUAUGCAUGAUAUGAGCAAUAUAACCCAGCCAAGUUAGAGCAUGCACCUCGGGGGGGGGGGAUACGACUGGUCAUCUCUCUCUGAAUCCUCCUCUGAGAAGCUAUCUGUAACCAGCAAGAAAUCUGCAUCGACAGGUAGCACUGACUGCUCAGAAGACCUUGUUUUCUCUCCAGAUUUUCCCAUAACUGACUCAAAUGGCUGAUGCACAGGAAGAGUAGAUGAAUGUAUAAACAUUGUUGACAAAUGGAAUACAUUAUGGAAAAAAAUAUGGCACGAUACAAUUCACAUAUACAAUGACUGGCUAAACAGGAUGGCAUUGCAUGAUUCACGUAUAUGAUGCCUGGCUAAAGAAGAUAGCAUUGCAUAAUUCCCAUAUACUCCCUCCGUUCCUAAAUAUUUGUUUUUUAGAGAUUUCAAAUGGACUACCACAUAUGGGUGUAUAUAGACAUAUUUUAGAGUGUAGAUUCACUCAUUUUAUUCCGUAUGUAGUCACUUGUUGAAAUCUCUAAAAAGACAAAUAUUUAGGAAUGGUGGGAGUAUGAUAUAGAAACCAAACAGGUGGCAUUCACACAAAGCAAAUCUAAACUAAGCUGAUGACAUAUAAGAUGUAUAAUAUAAGCAAUGCACGGCGCCAUAUGCAUGAUAUGACCAACAUCAGCAUGCCAGGUUAGACCGAACACCUCAGGUGGUAAACAGGCAUGGUCGACUCCUUCUGAAUCUCCAUCUGAACAGUUAUCUUCCUCUGGAAUACAAUCUGGAAAUGCAGGAGAGGGGGGGCACUUCGCCCACCAUGGAGCAGCGUCUGCAUGACAUUAUAUUCGCACACAACGGUCUUCUCUUUUUCUCUACAUGUUCAGUACGAUUGUGUACAAUAUCUGACAUGCAUAAUAAAAAAUAGUUAGAUUUUGUAAGGCCUAAGGGGUGCAUGCAAAAAUCAAGACUGAUGGUAGCAAACGAGUGGAUGGAUCCAAAACUAAUGAUAGCAGGUAGAGUAUAGCUUCAGUUUAAAAAGAUAGACAAUGGAUCAUCUCUUGUUUGUUGCCCACCCAACAUGAACCACAUAGAAGACCCCAGAUAGUAGACAGAUACUAUUCGUUGCUGGCUCGAUAUGAGACCCAUGGGCAAUUCAAAACUUAAGAUUGAACAAUAAAGUAGCAGGUAAUAAUAACCGAUGUAUAACGUAAACAAACACGAAAGACUGCGACCUCUCUUCCAGAACUGUGUAGUCCUCAGGUUCAUCUUCUCAGUCGAUGAUCGUAAUGCAGUUGGCGUGGCUGCCGGCAACGGGGAAGAUGAUCUGAGGCGGUGAAAGAAAGUCUGCAGGGGGGAUCUCUGCUGCAGUGAACGCUUCUGUCGAUGGUGCACCUCAGGUGGGGUGGAUGACGUCACGGCAAGAGCAGGACAUAGCACACAGAGUUUUCUUUGACGCCAAUCUGAAAAUGAAGUAAAUCUGUAAGGGCUCCUUAGAAUUGGAGGAUUCUAUAAAUGUAGGGACAGGAAAAACACAGGAAUAUGAUAGGAAUGCACGUGCAAAACAGAGCAUUUGGAAACAUAGGAUUUCAGUCAACCUGGGUGUUUGGCUCACAUGAAUUGGAAGAAUAGAGGAACGGAGAAACAAAGUGAUGCGACGAGUGUACAACCUCUUUGGCAUAGCCUUGUGGACCUCAGCAUCAUUGGGUUGGACGUGGAGGAUGUGAUGAUGCUGGUGUGACUGUCAGAGGCGGGGAAGAAGAUCCGAGGCCUCUGGAAACAACGCCGAGGGUACUGCUCCGCUGUGAUGGAUGGUUCCGUUGUUGGAGCAGCUCCGCUAAGGUGUACGGCGGUGAGGCUGAAGCAUGACAAGACAGACAACUUUAAUCUGAAGUGGGACCCUAAUAUCAUCUGCAAUAGAUGAUGUAAAAUACAUCACCAAAAAGUGCUAGAUGUAAAACGCAUCAGCCGCGCCACGGCCACUCGGACAAAUGCUGUAAGUACUGUUCACUCUGAACUUAACUGAAGAAAAUGAACUUCACAGUCGAAACUGAAUUUUACCGUCGAAACUGAUUGAGCUAGUAAUAGAGCAUUGCAAUGGAUGUUUAGGGCGUUCGAGCACUAGUAGCAGAGAAGCAGUGAUCUAAAUCAGCAGACGCUCGAGCUGGGAACGCACUAGUAGAGAGCAAGUCGUGCAGUAGCACCGCGAGCGAGUGCUAAAGCAGCAAGUUCUGUAGCUGCCGGAGGUCGUGCAGCAGCAGCAGCAGCGCAAGAGAGAGCAAGAGAAGAGCAACAGCAUGAACGAAAGCUGGAGCAGUGCAGCAGCGCGACCGACAUCAAGAACAGAGCCGCAGUGCGAGCGAGAGCCGGAGCAGCUGCAGCUAGUGCCGUUGUGGAAGUCACCGCCGAGGAAGCAAGGACAUGGGAGAGAGACGCCGUGGAUGAUGUGGCUGGCGACGGUGCCAUUAAUGGAGACGCCAUGUCUGCUCGGUAUCGAGCACCGACAGCCCCAUGAGAUCGAAUAAAAGAUAAAAUGCAGCAGUGAGUGCAGAACCUCCACCGAGUUGGCCUCGCCUUCAUCGGAGGAAUUGGUGAGGGUGCUGCGGUUCCGGUGGGUCAGGUCAAGACGGCUAUGGGGAUUGAGGUGGCACGAUAGAUGAGGCGAACAUCGGGGCAGCUCCUUGGAGGUGGAGGACGGGGCGGCUGAUCCAGCGGGGCGACGAGAUCGACAAUGGAUCCUCAUCCGGUGCGGUGGAUGAGGGACGGCGAGCUGUUGCGGUGGACGACGUAGUCGGGGAAGAGUCUCCGGCUGGGCGGCGGUUGGGAGGCCGACGGAGGAGCCUGGGGUUUCGCGGGUUUUGGCGGCCUCGGUGUUCGAAUGGGGGGGGGGGCGAAGGGGGAGGGGGAGCCAAGCUUAGGGACGCGCUUGUCCGAAAUAUAGGGUAAGUUACCAGCAUACCCCCACCGGUUUUGACACCGCGAAUUGGAGCUUCAUUUUUGGCUAAGGGGUAGAAGGGGGAUUUCACGUGUCUGGGCCGCGGGAGCGAUUUCGUAUGAGGAGGGAGUUCUCGCACGCGUCCAAAUUUUGGGAUAACAAGGCACGACGCGGGUUGAAGAAGCAGGAGUUUCAAAGCCGGUGAGACAAAAGAUACUCGAGCUUGAAAAUUUCGGGAUAACAAGGUGCGGAUUCCUUGUUCGGCAGAACAAACUUAACGUGUAAAAAAAAUCAUACAAGACACAAGAGAGUCAUGUCCCCUUAUACUAUAUUGCUAUAGAUGCCAUUGAAAAACUACAAGAAAAAUGUAAAAAAAAUCAGGAGAACAAGAUUACCCUGCACAGUACCAAAUCGAUUCGCACUUCCCUCAACAACAACAAAAAACAAAUCAAUUCCCACCAAAGAAAGAGUAAUGUCCCUUUUUAUAUGAUUACAGAUGCCAUGAUCUUGAAUUUCAAUUUUUGAAUCCACGUUAUGUUGAAUUCGAAUAUAUCAUUAGGUGACCUUGCGGUUUAUAAUUGAUGUAGUUGUACAUUUUGAUCUUCCAUCAUAUAUGAACAUUUUACUCCACCAUGUGAACAUAUAUAUCAUCGUCUACCACAUGGACUAAAUUUGAAUCAAUUUUCCUUAUUUGAAUACGAUUGUUGUCAAGUUAUACAAUAAUUUAAAUAUUAUCUUGAUAACAAAAAGACAUGCAUAUAGCAGUAAUCAUAUUUCACUAUGAACUACAUGUACAAUAUGCUCUCCAAUUCAAAUAUCUGUAUCCAUUUUAUGUUGAAUUCAAAUCAUUGUACAUUAUUGGUCUAGGUAGCGAGAUGUUCGGGAUAAUCUAAACCCUAUUUUCAUACGUAUAAUUUUGGCUGAAUUGGGACAAGUUUUGGUAUAAGCCUCUUGCAAAACCGGAGAUUCUCUCAACAAUCCUCGUGGUUCCGAGAGGGGACGUGUCACCUUUAUGUGCGAAACGAUAUACGCUGCCUCCCCCCUGACUUUAUUUACAGAGGCAACAUAGAACUAUAUGAGUGCCCUGUUAAAUUUUGGAAUUAUUUUGGGUUCAUUUGGCCUUUUUAUACAUUAAUUGAGUUUUUGGACUUUUAAUGUGCAUAAUCUAAAUAUGAAUUGCAUGCACAUGCUCCGGUGCACCAAAGUGGGUUGAAAAAUCACAUGUGUGUCCUUGGUUGAAUUUCUAGGUCCCAUGGAAGAAAUGAGAAUGAAGUUCAAACAUCUGGGCGUCAUGACUCUGCCGAGAACAUUGAGGAACUUAGAUUUUAAAUUUAUUUAAAUCCAAAACUCGGCUGGAAAUCAUGAAACUUGGCAUGGUGUCAUGUCAUGGCACUAACAUGUUGUGGUAAAAAAUUGGGCCGAUUUGGAAGCUCGUGGUUCUAAGAGGGAAUGNNNNNNNNNNNNNNNNNNNNNNNNNNNNNNNNNNNNNNNNNNNNNNNNNNNNNNNNNNNNNNNNNNNNNNNNNNNNNNNNNNNNNNNNNNNNNNNNNNNNNNNNNNNNNNNNNNNNNNNNNNNNNNNNNNNNNNNNNNNUUAACAAAGGCAACAUAGAACUACAUUAGUGCCAUGUUAAAUUUUGGAAUUAUUCCGUGUUCAUUUGUUGUUUUUAUACAUUAAUUGAGUUUCUAGUCAUUUAAUGUGCAUAAGUCAAAUUUGAACUACAAGCACAUGCUCUCGUGCACCAAAGUUGGUUGAAAAAUCACAUUUGUGUCCUCGAGUGAAUUUCUAGGUCCCAUGCAAGAAAUCAGAAUAAAAUUAAAACAUCUGGACAUCGUGGCUCGACCGAGAACAUUGAGAAACUUGGUUUUAAAAUUCUUGUAAAUCCAAAACACGUCUGAAAAUCAUAAACUUGGCAUGGAUGUCAUGUCAUGGUACUACCAUGUUGUGGUAAAAAAAUGGCUGAAUAGGAACAGAUUUUGGUAUAAGCUUCUUGCAAACCGAAGCUUCUCUCAAGAAGGCUCGUGGUUCUGAGAGGGAACGUGUCACCUUUGAGUGCGAAACGAUAUACGUUGUCCCCCUUGAGUUUAUUUACAAAGGCAACAUAGAACUACAUGAGUGCCUUGUUAAAUGUUGGAAUUAUUCCGGCUUCGUUUGGCCUUAUUUACACAUUAAUUGAGUUUUUGGUCAUUUAAUGUGCAUAAUUCAAAUUUGAACUACAAGCACGUGCUCUCGUGCACCAAAGUUGGUUAAAAAAUCACAUUUGUGUCCUCGGGUGAAUUUAUACUCCCAUGCAAAAAAUGAGAAUAAGAUUCAAACAUCUGGGCAUCGUGGCUCGGUCGAGAACAUUGAGAAACUUGGUUUUAAAAUCAUGAAACUUGGCAUGGUGUCAUGUCAUGGUAGUACCAUGCCAUGGUAAAAAAAUUGGCCGAAUAGGAACAAAUUUUGGUAUAAGCAUCUUGCAAAUCGGAGCUUCUCUCAAGAAGGCUCGUGGUUCUGGGAGGGAACGUACGUGUCACCUUUGUGUGCAUAAUUCAAAUUUGAAAUACAAGCACAUGUUCCAGUGCACCAAAGUUGGUUGAAAAAUCACAUGUGUGUCCUCGGGUAAAUUUCUAGGUUCCAUGCAAGAAAUGGGAAUGAAAUUCAAAAUUCUGGGCGUCGUGGCUGGGUUGGAAACAUUGAGAAACUUAGUUUUUUAAUUCUUGUAAAUUCAAAACACGCAUGAAAAUAAUGAAACUUGACUUGGUGCCAUGACAUGGCACCAACAUGCUGUGGUAAAUUUGCAGUCCGAUUUGCGAAGGCGCACACAUUAACAAUCAACAAAGUCAUUUUGGAACAAGUGUUGUCACGUUACAAUCGGAAACACAAGUAUUAUUGAAAUCGUGGGCGUUCUAGUUACUAGUACCAUUUACGUGCUGCCACGCGUCCCCAUUUUUUAUUAGCUAGGAGGCGCCGUGCAGGGUAGCUAUUUGAGUACGAGAGGCGUGCGAUCAGACCCCUGCGCGUGCUUAUCGGGAGGAGAGUCCUUUGACCUCCAUCUGCCGUCCACCUCUCUCCCAAGGUCUCCAUUAAUGGCACCCGAGCCUCUAUUUAAUGGCGUGGCUAUGUCUCACUCGACUGAGAUUUAAGAGAGAGAAAAGAAAAUCUGAAAGCACGGAUCUUGAUGUAAGAUCCGACGGACCUAUAUAGCAUCUACUGCGACUUAUAGCAAGACUGAUGAAUAUAUAAGGAUGAUUUUUUUAUCAAAGAAGGGCUUGCCCCUUCCGAUUUUCAUUACUGAAAACCACCACAAUUCACAAGAAGUUCAGCACAACUCCAUCCUAACACGAAGGACUAAAAGCUACUCCCCCCGUCCCAUAAUAUAAGACGGUUUUUGACACUAGUGUAGUGUCAAAAAACGUCUUACAUUAUGAGACAGAGGGAGUACCAGAUUGAAAUCGCAACAUCCCAAGAGGCCAACAAAGGCCAAACAUCCGCGCUAGAACCCAACAUUUCACAACCGACGACACAAUCCACAUCCUAAACCGAUUAUUACAUCAAAAGAACACAGGAAACUGAAGGAAGCCCAGCAGCAACUAGAAGAACAACAACGCCAGGGUCGCCACAGCAAGAGUUUUCUUCAUUCCAGCCUCACAACAUUGAUCUUCCACAGAAAGAUAAGGACGAUUAAUUGUCUUACAUAAUUAGAAAGAUAAUUAAAAAAGCCACAUGCGGCUACGCCCGAAAUACACAAGGGCAAAAGAAGAAGGAAGACAAGGAUCUGGCUCACUGAUCUCUACUUUCUUGAUGCGUUGUUGCAGGCCGCGGGAACUAGUCUCCGCGGCGAGAGCUCUUUCAUGUCCUCAAGACGCUGCUUGAGAACAUCCAUGGAUUCCUCCACCAGCCUUUGGCACUCGUUGUGGAGCAUGUCAUUCUCGUCCAUAAGUUUCUUGACGAUGACGCUGGUCCUCUUCAACAAGGCAUUGGUCUCCUCCUGCUGGUCUGCACUUCGGAUGAUCUUCUCCCUCAGCAGGUCGCGCUCGGCCCGAAGCCUCUCAUUGCCCUCCCUUAGUUGCUGGAUGACGCUGGUAGACUGUUCGAACGAGGCUUUCACAUCGUCCUACAACCUCGCCAAGCCGGAGAUCUGAUCUAUCUGGCUAUGGACGAUCGCAUGCAUGCGCCUGUAACAGUCGUCGCCUGCCCGCGAGAAAUUUUCCCAGGCUGCCACGGCGCGGCGGGACAUCUCUGCUGCAUUCGUGGCGCGGCGGGACAUCUCUGCUGCUUCCGCGGCACGGCCGGACCAGUCUUCUGCAUCGACGGCACGACGGGACCUCCGUGCUGCUUCAGCGGCGCGGCGGGACCUCUCUGCUACUACUUCCGCGCGGCGGAACAUGUCGGCUGCUCUCGCAGCGAGAAGGGACAUCUCUCGUGCUUCCGCUUCCAUGCUCGCCUCUCCCUGGUGGCAAUCUCUCGACCCAGAACUCACGCUGGCCAUGGCAGACGCAAGGGAAGGAUGCUGAAUGACUUGUUUGUUUUUGUGGAUGAGGAGUUGAGGAGGAAUGUGCAGUCAUCUUGGCAUACUAGUAUUUAUAACCGAGUACUAAUACGCUCCUAAGUGGGAAACCGUUUAGGUUGUGAUUGGUGUGAACAUGUUUGGAAUUCAAUAUAGCGGGAUACUAAUACGCUCCUAAGUGGGAAACCGUUUAGGUUGUGAUCGGUGUGAACAUGCCUGCAAUUCAAUAUAGCGUGGAGUAAUUUGGAAUGUGACGAGACGAAAGCUCAAAAUUUAUUGACGGUUCUAGUUUCGAAGUGCGGCACUACUCCUGGAUGGACUACUUCUUUUUCUACUCCCUCCUUUCUAGUUUUAUAGGGCUUAUCUCAAAAUUUUAGUUUUUCCAUUUUAUAAGGCUCAAUUUGGUUGUUCCCCAACACAUGUUCAGAUUCCAAGGUGCAUUAAUUCAUUGCAUGCAAGUAUUAAGAGAAAAUUGACUAAUGCAUGUACUUUAUGCAUGCAUGCAUUGCAAUUAAUGCAUUGAUAAACAUAAUCUUUUGAGAAAAACAAGAGCAUUAAUUAGGUGCUUUUGCAAACUACAAAAAAUAUUCCACCACUCACCAUAAACUGGAAAGGAGGGAGUACUGCUGUGUAAGUGCAAUAACUGGCACCGCCGUAUACAUAUCUUACGGUUAAUGGGGCGUUCGGCAGGAAUACCCGCGUGGCGAGCUCUAGGCUAGUCCUUUUUUCAGACGCAUUAAACCUAUCUCUCGGGACUUCUCGCACGCACCAUCGUGCCACCCACAAAAACUUGUACUAUCAGUUUAGUAGUACGUUAUAUAGGAAGAGAAGAGGUGCACGCACGCACUCGUCCUCUCACACACGCGUCUAUUUUUUUCUCGAAAAGGAGGAUGAUGAUCCUCGGCCUCUGGAUCUGGGAGUCACACACGCAUCUGUAGCUACGAAUUGUAGUGUUCUCAACCAUCAGAUUGGCUCUAUCAUGGAUGUACCUAUACAGACGCAUCUGGGAGUGCUUGUCAUCAAAAUGGAUAAAAAGGGACGUAUCUAGAACUAAAAUAUGUCUACAUACAUCUCCUUUUAUCCAUUUUGAUGACAAGUAGUACUUCUUACCCAAAGGAACUUUAUAUCCAACAGACACAAAAGAUCCGUUCGACUAUUGGAAAUUACUGAUCUGAUGUCGAAGUAAUUGCUGCAUCGCCACCAAAACCCACCAUUUCUUAAGCUAAAGUAGACCAAGGUAAUCCCUAUAUUAGCAUAUUACUAAGAUAAACAGAAGGCACUGUCGAAACAUGUAGGACGUGAGCUUGUCAAUCUGAAUGUGGAGGCACACAAGCUUAGCCCCGGCCAGCAGCUUGGGCAGAACUGUCAAGAAGGUCAGCUCCUGCAUGUCGACGUCGCCGGGAUCCUUGCUGCUUGUCACCUCAAUUUCCACCUCGACGGCAUCGGUCGUGCCUUUGGGCUCCCCCGACGGGCCGUUCGCCCACAGCUUGGCCCAAUAGUGCGGUAGUGGGGACACCCCCAUUCUGAUGCAGACGACCGACACGGCGAUAGGCGCGCCGAUGUCGAGCACGCCGCCGACCAAGAAAAACGUGUGAUGGUCCUCCUUCGCGAACAACAAGAGCCGUGGUUCCGACAGUGGCACUUGCAGUUGGAGCACCUUGUCGUACUAGAUCCUGUGCACGGGCAUGGGAUGCGUGUUGCUGAUGUGGUGGUAGAGCGCCGGCGGCGGGCCUUCGUAGCCGCAGACGGGCACGGGGCAUUUGUAGGGCGCGAGCGGACACACGCUCUGGUGAUCGGCGAGCUUGUGGUAAGUGACGUAGAGCCCACAACCUUCGUGCGGGCACUCCACCCUCAGCGAUGAAACGAUGGCGUCCACCGCCGUGUUCCGUACGUCGAAGCCACCCCCGCACUCGCACUUCUGGGACUACCGCUGGUUCCCGGGACGCUCGACGCAGCAGUCCGUGCAGGCCAAGUGCCCUCGAUUGCACUGCAGAAAUCAAUCGAACAACACAUCAAUCAAGAAACCUGCACCUUGCUCAAUCAGCCAAAUGGACGAGGUGUAUUCGAACCUCAUUCACUGGAGGCAUCAAGGGGCGGAGGCACAAGGGGCAGUGGAGCACGGUGAGGUCCAUCGAGACCUUAGUGAGCUCCCUCGUCGGUUCCUGUUCCGUCUGCAUGAUCUCACCCUCCUCGUGCACAACCAUCUCUCGCUUGGGCCGGGGCAUUACAAAGCUUUACCGUCACAUAUUUUAUACUCUGCGCAUAACUGUCCUCUCGCAUACCAAGGAAGGCAGUAGUUUGAGUUUUCUGGACAAAUUUGCCCCUAUGCAUGAGAAAGCUACAUAAAUAUCGACAGUAAAUGCGCAUGCAAUGGUUGGCCGGUCCUCCUUCCUUUUCACUUGAGUUGGCUUCCCCAGGCGGUCAAGCCGCAUCCGGCGCUGCACGCGUUUGCCUGUAGCCAUUUUCUAAUUUGGAAACUGGCGCGAUUAAUGGGGGCAGAACUAAUCAAGCGGGGGCACAGAUGGAAACCAACGCGGACGCGCAGACUAAUCUGAGAAAAACAAGAAAAAGUUAUACGCAAAGUAAAAGGAAUCGGAGGGAGUACUACUUCAAGGUGCAUUAAAUCAACACAUGCAAGUAUCAAAAGGAGAGUCACGUCAUGCAUGCAUGUGUUGUAAUUAAUGCAUCGGUAACCCUAAAUUAUUGAAAUAUAUCGAGUGCAGUGCUUUGAUGUGUCGUGUCAACUCGUACAUCAAUGAGAAGUUUGAUUAUCCUCUCCCUCGCGGACUUAACUGCACCUGCCUUUGGCUGUAUGAUAGGUUGGCCACACACCUGUCAGGCCCACCUGUCAUACACGCAAAGACAGGAGCGUCCCUCCCUCGCCCAUGAGCGUGGUGGCUGGCAAGACUAGGAGAAGCUUUCGCUACACGCUCUCCCUCCCGCACGCGGUGGACAUGCAGUCGUUCAAUCGGUGUCAGAUGGCCAGAAGCGUACUAUAGUACUCCUCCAGUGCAGUAGUACAUCAUCAUUGUUCGACUUCCCGAAGAGGCGAAGAGCCAAGCGCAGCACGGAUGCUCGUGUGGCAGUUUCAUGUGUAGAGUAGUCUAGAUAGCGUCUACCGUGCAUGUAAACUUAAAAUCGCUGGGGUCGGCUCCAUGCUAUGUGGCCGUCUUGAAGUUUUUUUUUAAAUUAAAAUAGUCUUCUGGCCCUACCUGUCACCCUGGUGAUUGUAGUUUGCAUGCUCAUCUGGUCAAGACAGGAAUAUAUAUUUUAAUUUGUUUUUUUGAAAAGGGCGGACACCCCGGCCUCUGCAUCAGAACAAUGCAUACAGCCACAUAUAUUUUAAUUUGUGGUGGAUAAAUGUUAGAGGUUGCAGCAAAUAUAUUGUACACUGCGGGUCUUUCAGCCAAGUUUAGAGGCAAGCAUGUGGGCCAGUGCUAUGAUGUGUCGCGUCAACUCGUAGAACGAGGAGAAGCUUGAUUUUACUACACACCUUCUCCCUCGCCCAUGCGCGCUGUUGCUCGCAAAUGAGGACAGACUUUUGCUUAGUAGUACUUCUAAAACAAGCUAUCCGUCCCGCUCGCGGUGGACGGACAUGCAGCAGUGGAUUCGACACUGUAGAAGCAGUAGUAGUAACAUCAUUGUUCGUCUUCUCGAAGAGGCGAAGACCCAAGCGCAAACCGAACGUUGCAGUUGCGAACAUUGGAGCACGCAUAUAGCCAGGCUCUUGCAUGAGACAAAAUUGCUAUGUGAGCCCACUAUUGUACUAGUACAUACAACUACUUGCUAGUAUAGCCCUAUAAACCAGAAAGGAGUAUUUGCCCUUCUAGAGAUUUCAACAAGUGACUAGACUACACCGAGACAGAGUACAUAUGGAGCAAAAUGAGUGAAUCUGCACCGUAAAUAAAUACGUACUAGUUCUAUCGUUUUCCUCUCCGAGGUGCACAAUAUUGAGUAUACUGACUAGUCUCUUUUUGACACGCAUUUACGUUGUUUUUUUUUGACACAGUACAGACGCAAGUGCUCAUAUACACGCGCAUACACUCAUCCCCAUGAACGCACACACGCACAGCACUAUCAUCUUGAAAUUUACGAAGUCACCAUAGGCACCUCGUCGUCGACGGGUCCAUAGGUGCCUGAAUGCCAAGGAGGAAGAGGGUAGCGGUUCCCGAGACGUUGAACAGUCAAUGAUGCAUCCUCAAUUACAUGCAGAGGGAAUUAAUUGGAGAAGCAGACUAGAGCCAGCAUGAUGUGAAUGCAAUAGAGUUUGGACUCUCAUAUAAUAAAGGCGCCCCAGCACUCCAAUCCAUCUACUCCCAAGUCUCUGCGCAACACUACUCACUCCAAUCCAAGACCAAGUGACCAGAAGCCACAAGCACCUAUGGAGGCGAUGGACGCGAGCGGCAGUCGGUUGUGCUAAAUCAUCCAAGGUGCCAGCCUGCAGCCCCGCACCAUGCAGCAUUUCUAGACGGUGCUGGCGACUGCAGGCAUCGUAGCCCUCGCCGACGCUGGCUUUGCCUUUCGCAUGGACGACAUGAUGGUCAACUCCAUCCGCAAGUUCACCGCUAUCAAGAAGCGCGCGGACGACCUUGCCGUACUGCUCCAGCCUGCGUGCCCAGGCUCCUCAUUGCCUGCCACCCUCAUCGGCCUACAUGGUGACGAACUCUUUCAAGCCCUGGUGGCCCUGCAGGUGCCGGAGGUCGCGACGAAGAAUGUGCACCUCGAGGCCUCGCUCGCCGCGCAACGCCUUGCCAUGCAGGAAACCGUCGACCUGCACAUCCACGUCUACGAGGAAAUCGUCUACAUAGGCCACUACAAGGCAAGCGAGGACAGAAAGACGUUGGCCUUCUUCCAGCGGCUGUAAUCUUUGGACACCAUUGUUCAGAAGCACGUCGACCUGGCCAAGAAAGCCGCUGCUACUUAGGCAUCGUUCGGUGGGUCGGCGCCCUGAGUCGAGGAGGUGGACAUCAUCGAUGGAUGCAUCUCUUCUUCUUGCUUCCUGUAACCAGCACUGCAUCGCCUCGUGGCCUUAAUGUUUUAUUAGUAUAGUACUCCCUCCGAUCCCAAAUAUAAGUCUUUCUAAAGAUUCCAGCAAGUGACUACUACAUACGGAGCAAAAUGAGUGAAUCUAAGCUCUAAACUAUGUCUUCAUACAUCUGUAUGAUAUAUUCCAUUUGAACUAGUAUCUAAAAAGGCUUAUAUUUAUGAACGGAGGGUGUAUACGGCAUUUUUUAUUCCAGUCAUAACGUUUUCACUAUGAGGAGGGGCCGCAGUUGAGCAAACCCACCCCACCCACCGGGCGUCGGCCAAGUUUAGAAUUAGAAGAGAGAAACGAGGGAGGAGAGCUAGCUGUAGCACGGACGCUGUUGUCAGAUGGGACUCGUGUUUAUAGAAUAGGAGUACUGAGCACUCGUGCCUCUCUUUUUUGAGGGAAAAAUUAAUCGUAUGUCUAGUACCACUAGUUGGUGCGUGCGACCUAUAGCUGUCAUCACUUUAGGUCUCCUUUUCGAACUGUGGCUAUGCUUCACAGUACAUAUUUUUUCACGCAUUUAUCCUCCUAUAUGUACUCCGAGGCUAUUUCCACAUGCUCCCAUUUGCCGACAUGUGGGACAUAGAGCAUCUGGGUCAUAGUGCAUGCACGACUCGGAGCAUAUGCCGGGGUACUUUACAUUUCAGACCUCACGAAUUACAUGCAAACCCCUCGCAGAAGAAUAAAUAAAUCAAUGAAUUACUACAUGAAACCAGAUUAUUUUCGUGGAAACCGGAGCACGUUCAUUAAAUUUUGGACAUAACACGUUUAUAAAAAAUGACCAGACCUAAACCAAUCUAAGGGCCUCUUUGAUUUUUCUCAAAAAAGGGCCUCGUUGAUUCGCAGGAUACUGAAAACACGGGAAUGGGGAAAGUAUGAUGGCGAUGAACCGAGACGAGGAGAACUCUAACUCAGUUAGAGAUUAGAGUUAGAUUCUAACCCUGAACUAACUCUAAACCAAAGAGGUGUAUGGAUGGCAGGGUUAGAUUGACAAUAAAUGCUCUAUCUCAAUCAUUUGACUACUUUGGACCCUAUUUUUAGUCAGACUAAAAUAAGUCCCUUGGAUCCAAGCACCCUCUUGGUGUGGCCGGCUCAUCUGUGGCCUCCUCCCGCUCACAAUUGACAUAAAUGAACCAUCUAUACAAAUCAAGCAUGCAAAACAUGAUGAUUUUUACUUUGUCCAUACAAAUGAGAUAUCCCACUUAAACAUACAAGUCGUCAAUCAAGCUUCACAAAAUAAAAAAACACUUCAUGAAACAAAGAAUGAGCUAACUCAUCACGGAAGUCGUUCACGAUAGGGAGGGAGCCCGGAGCCCCUCACGCACCGAGGGAGGAGCUCGCCAUCGUCGCUCUGGAGGAAGGCUCUGUAGAGCCCAAGCCUCGGGAACCCCUCUGACGCCGGCCCUUGCUAGUUGAGGUCGACUCCAGCAUGGGUAGUAGGGCCGCUUGCCGUCGACUUGGAACUUAAUCUUUGGGCAUCUAGAAAUAAUGCAAGCUUGUAACUAAAAUACCUAGAAAGGUGAACUGAAUCUUUGGGCCUCUAGAAAUAAUGCAAGCCUGAAACUGAAAUACCUAGAAAGGUGAACUGUAUCUUUGGGCCUCUAGAAAUAAUGCAAGUGUGAAACUUAAAUACCUAGAAAGGUGAACUGAAUCUUUGGGCCUCUAGAAAUAAUGCAAGCCUAAAACUGAAAUACCUAGAAAGGUGAACUGAAUCUUUGGGCCUCUAAAAAUAAUGCAACCCUGAAACUAAAAUACCUAGAAAGGUGAACUGAAUCUUUGGGCCUCUAGAAAUAAUGCAAGCCUGAAACUCAAAUACCUAGAAAGGUGAACUGAAUCUUUGGGCCUCUAGAAACAAUGCAAGCCUAAAAUUGAAAUACCUAGAAAGGUGAACUGAAUCUUUGGGCCUCUACAAAUAAUGCAAGCCUGAAAUUGAAAUACCUAGAAAGGUGACCUGAAUCUUUGGGCCUAUAGAAAGAUUUAUUACCUCCUUAAGCAGCAUCAAACAAUUCCAUGCAUGCACCGCAAAUCUAUAGCAAGUUUGAUCAGGAUCUACUUUUCCAAAUCAGAAUUCACGCUAGAGCAAGCAAGAUCAAUGAUACGGCCGUGAGACAGAGAAGGAGGGAACAAACUCACCCCUCUCGCGACCUCCCUGGUAGAUGCGCUGCCGCCGCGCAUGACAGAGGGAGAAAAACGACUGGUGAAGGGGGAGCGGGGCGACCUUCGAAGGUCGGAGGGAGAGGGCGGCCGGAGUAGGGCGGCGGAGGCCGAAAGGAGAGGGCGGCCGGAGGAGAGAGAGGGCUUGCGGCGCUUGGGCGGCCCUAUGGGGAAUAGAGAGGAGUCAUGCGAGAGGGGGGGAGCGAUCUGGUGCGGGCAGGUGAGAUUUUUUUAUGGGAGCGAUCUGGUAUGGGCAGGUGAGAUUUUUUUAGUUCUCUUUUAGUGGGCCUGAGGAUAACUAACCCAAUUAGAACCUCUCCACCGGGCUAGUUUUUUUAGCUGGGUUAGAGCAAACUAGCUCAAACUAACCCCUCUUGUUUUGAUAAUUUGAGGCUAUUUCAACCCAAACUAGCUCUAACUCAGGGAUCCAAACAAAGAGGAGUGUUACUGUACAUGCUACAGUGUGGACCGUAGCACAUUGUUUUUUAUGGCCAUGUCACCACAUUGUUUUCUACUGCUGGUUCACUGGGCUACCGUGGUUCGCACGGCUGGUUCACUGGGCUGUCGUGGUUCGCACUCCUCCGACCUGAGUAGUAUAGUAUAGUACUAGUAUAUACCGCAUCGUUCUUUGCUCCUUCUUACUACUCCGACAUGUGGGAGAGCCAGCAUCCGGGUCGACGUGUCAUGCACCAGAUUAGAGCGCGGAACAGAAGGGGGGCAUCACCCCGGUCGGAGCACCAGUAAUUCAUGACUAUAGUGAGUGGUCAUAUCACAAGUCUUUCCAGCAAUAACGCGCCGUCAAAUCGCACAGCCCCACUCGCUCACCCUCCUCGCCUCUCUGUCAAACCUUCUACCCGAAAACUGCCGCGCGUACUGCCCGGGAAAAGCCCCGCCCUCAACUUUUAACUACGCGAAAAUAGUUCGAGCUUGUUCGUUCUAUAUAAAUACAAUACUUACUGUAUGUUUAUUCACCCAUGGGGUUGUUCAAUGAACAGAGGGGCGGGGAGCACAAGUGAACAAUAUUGUAGUAGUAAGUAGGAGUCGUAGAGUAGUCACCUUAAAUAGAGAGUUUCUUUUCUUUAAUGCCACGUACACAAAUUGAAACGCUUGUUGUGGAGAGAAAAAAGAUAAUCACUCCACUAUAUAUGGACGCAGGGGCCUGAGCGCUUGCUUUACUAGGGUUGCUCUCUUCAUUCUCUCAUCCUCUUCAGAUAUAAACAAGACAGCUGGAGCGACAUUUUCUCUCUGCUCACCGCUGGUCACAGAUCCGGCCGAAUCCCUUCGGCCGGUGUGUGUAGAGGACUAAAAGGUGCAUCGUUCACGCGGUCAUCGCCGCCGAGGGAGGAAACCCACAGCUGCCGGAGGGGCCCGAUCCUCUGCCCGUGCCGUUCUGUCCGACACAGCACUGGCUCGGGAGGCCCUCCGACCCUUCUUCCUCCCUGCCAUAUUGUCCGCAGAUCCGACCUGCCGCCGCCGACAUCCCGGUGACCCUCAGGUAUAAGUUCUUCGAAAGCGGCCUUGCUCUACUGCCCCAGCUCCCCACGUGUCUACAUGUGCAUCUUUUUCUACUCUCAUCAGCUCUUCCAAAGCCACCUAAAUUUUUAGUAUUAUUAGAGGUAAAGCUACUUCAUGCAUUCGAAUCUAGGGCUUUGUUCAAAUAACAAAGAAAGGGGGGAAAGUUGUAGCAUGAAUCUAGGACUUGAUUCAAAGAGGAAAUAAUAUGGUGAAAGUAGUAGAGAUCGGAUACCCAACCAGUCUCUUGGUUGAAAAGGGAAAUAAUGGGAAAACGUAGUACAAACUGGAUAAGGAACAUAUCUAUUAUUGGUUGAAAAAAGGAUAGAAAGUGGCGGCUGGUGGACAAGUCAACAGAGUAUGUCCAGGAUUCGAUUUGCUACCAUCACAUAGUAAAAGGUCUCCAGGAUUAGAUUUUCUGCCCUCACAUAGUAAAAGGUCGCAUGAUUAGAUUUGCUGCCCUCACAUAGUAAAAGGUCUCAAGAUUAGAUUUGCUACCCUCACAUAGUAAAAGGUCUCAUGAUUAGAUUUGCUGCCCUCACAUAGUAAAAGGUCUCAGGAUUAGAUUUGCUGCCCUCACAUAGUAAAAGGUCUCCAGGAUUAGAUUUGCUGCCCUCACAUAGUAAAAGGUCUCCAGGAUUAGGUUUGCUAACCUCACAUAGCGUGAACAAGCUCGGCAUCACCACUUUAUGCCUCCUUGUAGGUACAUUGUGCUGAUGCAUCCACUGUCGCAUGUCCUUAUACCAACCUUCUGCUGUUGUUAAUGUAAGGCCGCAUGCAAAAUGAAGCGAUCACACCGUUACCUUAGGGACAUGUCUAACCAGUGUUAUUGUUAAUCUAAUGCCUCCAGUGAUAAGAUGCAAUUAAACUGUGUUACAAAUGGCACUCAUGCUGUUUUCCCCAGUAUGAUAAGUAAGUUGCUCCUUUACGCUGCUGACUGUCCUGGUGUCCCCACGGUCCCAUGCCCUUAAACCAACUCUUUAGCUGCUGUUGAUUUACUGUGUCUGGUAAACAAGCAAUGCCACCAUUAAAGUAAUCCCAUAUCUAAGGAAUCUCAUUGUUGAUCGUAAUGCUUCUGGUAACAUGAAGCAUUGCUGAUGUUUUAAAAUUUCUACUGUCCUUGCAUGAUUGCCAUGAACAUAAUUAAGAUGCUUCUUUUCAUUUUGUAUAUGUUUCGUAUAUUCUUAUUGACUAGCAACUGUUUACUUUCUAUCAUUUUGUGCAGAUAGGGAUAUCGAUUUCACCUUGUUGCUAUUGUGACCUUUUGGUGAACUGCACAAAACACUUUUUUUUGAAUGAGUGUCUUAUGCAGUUCAACUAAAAUGUCACGUGGGCAACAUCUCUCAAUUUUGGUGGAACUGCACAAAAUGGUGAUUGGAGUUUCCAAAAUCUCCGUCAAGUUCUGCUGGUAAUCUCGUGCAACAUUUUAUUAGCCUUUGCAAGAUGGAGCAGUCACUGUCACCACAAUGGCACUUUAUUUUAGUGGAACUGCACAAAAGGAUAAGAAAAUUAUAGUUGCACCUUACAUGAGCCGGACAGCCAACCUUAAUGUUCCUCAAUUUUAGUGCAACUACUCAAGAAGAACCUGCCAGCUCACAAGAGCAAGUACUUCUUGCUAGCUGAAUGAUGCAAUCUUUGCUUCAUUUCAGGUGAACCGCAGAAAAAGGCGCAUGAAUUGAAUAAUGGAACUCCAGGCAGACCUCAUCCUAGUGGAUCUGGAGGUUGAGUUCAAGGAGACCGCUAUUAAAGUGAAAUCAUGCUUUCCUGUCUCCUUGUUUGUGCUGUGCAAGCAUGCUAUGCAAACGGGAAUACUCAACUACAGAUGUUGUGACGGUCAAGAGCAUUCGCCAAGUUCUUCGAUUGUAUGACAUGGCUAGCCAAGAUGGAUUUAAUCACGAUAUUCACUUUAUCAAAAGGCUCUAAUGGGUUGGUUCUUAGUCUUGCAAGCUGGGAAUCAAUGAGAUGUGUAGGCAUCUUUGUUGUACUUAUUAUUUGAAUCUUAUUUGUUGGUUCUGAAUCUUGCAAGCUGGGAAUCAAUGAGAUGUGUAGGCAUCUUUGUUGUACUUAUUAUUUGGAUCUCAUUUGUUGGUUCUGAAUCUUGCAAGCUGGGAAUCAAUGAGAUGUGUAGGCAUCUUUGUUGUACUUAUUAUUUGGAUCUUAUUUGUUGGUUCUAAAUCUUGCAAGCUGGGAAACACAGCAUGAUGAUGUAGAGGAUAGCAACCAUAACAAACAGUUCAAACUUGGUAGUAUUAUCUUUGUGAAAGUGCGACAAAUGUGUUGAUCGUGUGCGUCCUGAGAAUAAUAAUUCUAAUUGUUGUGCAUGUUGAUCCCGUGGCACUGAUAGAAUGAGCCAAUGCAUUGCUUGUUUUAAGUAUAAAUUUGUAUUAAAGCUAAUUAAAUUUAAGUAAAGUGACCACUAACUCCUGUUAUUACAGUACCAAUACAGACCCGCUCGUGAACCGACGUGUGGCCGGAGUCGGUUUCUUAAUGGAGGCAUUUGAAUGUGCCGAGGGUGCAUCUUCUGACGGGCGUGCAGCGGACGAGGAAGGGGUAGUAACUGUUGUCGCCUGUACACACUCAGCUUACUAUUGAAUCCAGUUCCCCAAGAGCUGAAAAACGAACUGUUGCCGCCGCCUACACACUCGUUCACUCAAAGAGACUCCAAUGGCGAUCCGAGGGGUGAGCCUGCUGGAUAUGGACUUCAGCAAGGAGUUAGUUCGCCGUUCAGUCCUAUGGCUGCAGCAAGUUGAAUGUGAUGUACACCAACGAUACGGACUCGGUGAAGCUCUGCCUCGCCUCAGUCCUAUGGCUGCACCAGGUUCUGGAGCAUUCAUUUGUUUCAUCGGCAGCGCCGACUGCACCUUCGUUGCGGUGGAGAGAAGGAAGAACGUGACGAUUCGGCCAUCUGGUGCAACAAGCUUGUCGACAUCCAGAAGCAAUACAAGAUCAUCAGCAACGGGCAGGAGAAGGACUCCGUGGUUGACCUCGCUGAGACCAUCAUCGACCCCUGAUACGCCAACAUGAGAGAAGACGACCUGAACACGUGGGAGGUACCUCUGAAUCUAGCCUACAUAACCUACGCGUCCAAGGACGCAUACGCAUGCUACGACAUGUACAGGUAGAUCUUGGACAUGAGGGUGUGUCUGCUUCUCGUAACCAACGAGUACACGGACAGCCGCAGCGUCAUGAUCAAGCGUGCCAGGAAGGUCUAGAUGUUGUACUUUAUCUAUUUAUAAGCACCUUUAUCAUCUGAGUGUUUCAUGCAUUAGCCUAUGUGUCGUAAUUAUCUGUUUUGUCCGAAAUAUUUCCUUUAAGAACCCAUUAACCUGAUUGCUUUUUUUAGUGGCUAUUUGCUUAUGUAUGUAAACUAGUUCACUUGUCCAUAAAAACACUAGUUCACUCGGCUGCCGUGCUUUGAAUCUCCUUCCUCCCAACAUAUUCCUCUCCUCAGGUGGACCCAGCAGGUCUCUGAAUUUUCUCCCACUUUCUUUUUCGAUGUAAACUAAGUUUUCUCCCAGUACUUUCCCUUAGAACCAACUCAACUGUCCCACGUCUAGCCUAAAAAAUAAUAACACCCCACGUACUAUUAACUCAUCAAAUUAAAAUGAUAUUUUAUUUCGUAAGUUGAAAGUUCUUACAAAAUAAUAAUAACAAUUGUUUAUAUAUAACUUGGCAAGUUAACUCCUAGUGAUUGCGUACAUAAGCUUGCAAAGAUUUUACUGACGUGCAAUCAUGUGUUUAUGUUUUUAUAACAUUUCUCCGUCUAGCCCAACAUGAUAUUUUCACCCAGCCUAGCAUGUCUGUGGAUUUCGAGAAAAUGCAAAUGGGAUUUAAACGGGUUGCAUAGAUGCUACAUCAUUGUUUCACCCAGCCCACCAAAUGGACUAAAAAACAAAUGGACUGGCUGACAUGUGGGCCAGUAGGUCGAAGCCUAAGAAGGCGUUGGAUUUACAUCCAACGAUCGGCAUUCUUCUUCAAUCUCUCGUCUUCUUCCCCCAGCGCUGCCGGAGCCGCCUGCUCUAGCCUUCGGCGUCCAGCGGCGUUGUUUUGCGCUCCUCAGUGAAACGCUACCCCGCCGACGACCAGGCCAUCCCUCCACUCCGCACCUCCUGUUAUUCUCUGUCGAGUGUAGGCCCACCCCGCACCCGAACCAGUCAAGUUUCCCACUCCUCUCCAUCUGCGACUCCACUACCACGUCUUCCCCAUCUCCGGGUAGUUCCAGUCUGGGGCCUUGCCGUCAUCCACCACCUCAGUGCACUCGGCGCGGCGUGGUCAACAUACGAGAGUCAUCGGAAGAGGAAUGUACGUGGAGAGCCUGACGGCUAGGACCCACGAGGUCCAUGAUCGCAUGCAAGGAAAGUUCCUCCUUAUUACGCACUGUACGUGCACUGUACGUGGGAAGGGCUUCUGUAUUUCGCGAAAAAAACGUUCCCCCGCUGACAGGUCGGACCCACCAGCUAUAUCUUCGCACGCAAGGAAGUGCCUCCUUAUUAUGCACCAAAAAAUGAAUACCCCCUGCUAGCUGGGACCCACCAUAGUGGGUGGCUGACUUGUGGGCCUACUAAGUUGACGAGGAUAGAAGGCUUUGUCAACUUAGUCAAUAUGAACGAUUCUAGCUCCAGUGACCGUACGAUGUCCAUCCAACGGCCAUAGUGCUUCUUCAACCUCUGGUCUUCUUGCUCCAGCCGCCCAAAGCAGCGCCGGUCGUGCCGCGUGCUCCUGCCUCUCGUGGCCGACUGUGAUGCCGCGGAGGCCUCACCGCCCCCUACUACUCCCACCGCUGGCCCAGGGUAUCCCUCUACUCACCCACACCCCCUGUUAUUCUGGGGCGACAGCAGCCUCACGCUGCAGCCGAACCAGUGAACCCUCGUACUCCUCUCUGCAUGGGCAUCCACUGCCACGUCUUCCCCGGCUCUGUGUCGUCCCCUUCCUAAGCCUCGCCGUCGUCCACCGCCUUGGUGCUCUCGGCGCGGCGUGGUCAAUGUGGUCAACGACCGACUUCCAUCGGAAGAGUACAGUACGUGGAGGGUCCAAGGCCGCAGCCCUCUUUUUUAGUGAUUUGCCAAGUAAGUCGCUUUGUUAGGCCUGUUGGGCUGCAAAUCUUUUAAGACGAGGAGAGCUUCAUUCGGCUGGCCGAGAAAAUGGCCUAUCAGUAAUGAGAAAUGAGCUGUACAUUUUUAAAACACAUCAAACCGGCAAUUAGUUUCAAAUAUCUUUUUUUCAUUUCGAGAUUUUAAAUUACAUUAAUUUUUAUGCGUGAAGAAUUUGUUGGAUUUUAUAUUGAUAUACAUUUAUUUUUAAAAUCAGUUUGAAUGUGAGUCAAAAUUUCAGGAUUAAAAACAGUUCGGACCGCAUCGAAAUAUGCAAAAUUUCGUAUAAUUUUUUAACCGUGGCCACAGUAUGGGCUGUAAUGCUAACAAAAAGAAUAUGGGCUCCAAAAAAACCCUUAAGAAUUAGCAAAUGGGCUGUAAAUUAUUAGAAAUAAUGGCAGAUGGGUUGUAUGCUGUUUUCCACAGAUUUGAGGCUUUCAUAAAAAAAGGUUGACGCACAAGCAGUGACUGUUGGAUGUCCAUCCAAUGGCCGUCGUGCUUCUUCAAUCUCUGCUCUUCCUGCUCCAGCCGCUCAAACAAGCGCCGGCAGGAUUGCCUGCUUCCUCCUCCCGGCGGCCGGCUGUGCUGCCGCGCAGGCCUCACUGCCCACCGUACUCCCAUCGCUGGCCUAGCCAUCCCUCUACUCACCCACACCUGCUGUUAUUCUCCGGCGACGGCAGACGAACAAGUAAACCCUCGUACAGUCGUACUCCCCUCCACGUGGGAAACAACUACCGAGUCUUCCCUCCCUCUGUGUCGUUCCCUUCCUAGGCCUCGCCAUCGUCCACCGCCCUGGUGCUCUCGGCGUGGCCUGGUCAACGUGGUCAAUGACCGACAUGUAUCUGAAGUGGACUGUACAAGGAGAGGCUGAUAGCUGGGUCCACGGCCGCACACAAGGAAAUGCCUCCUUAUUAUGCGCAAAAUAAUGAUUCCUCCACCUGACAUUAGGGACCCACCGAAAGGGCCUUUGUAUUUCGCGAAAAAAACGUUACCGCCGCUGACAGCUCGGACCCACCAGCUAUAUCUUCGCACGCAAGGAAGUGCCUCCUUAUUACGCACAAAAAAUGAAUACUCCCCCUGUUAGCUGGGACCCAGUAUAGUGGCAGGCUGACUUGUGGGCCUACUAAGUUGACGGGGAUGGAGGGAUUUGUCAACUUAGUCAAUAUGCACGAUUCUAGCUCCAGUGACCGUACGAUCUCCAUCCAACGACCGUAGUGCUUCUUCAACCUCUGGUCUUCUUGCUCCAGCCGCCCAAACCAGCGCCGGUCGUGCCUCGUGCUCCUGCCUCCCGUGGCCGGCUGCAACGUGGUCAAGGAAUGGCUUCCAUCGGACAUGGACUGUACGUGGAGAGGUUGACAGCUAGGUCCACGGCCACAGCAAGGAAGUGCCUCCUUAUUACGCGCAAAAUAAUUAUUCCUCCACCUGACAGCAGGGACCCACCAGACGAGCCAUUGUAUUUCGCGUAAAAACGUUUCCCCCUGACUGCUGGGACCCACCAGCUACAUCUUCGAACGCAAGGAAGUGCGUCCGGGUAAAAAAACGAUUCGCCCCCCUGACUGCUGGGACCCACCAGCUACAUCUUUGCAGGCAAGGAAGUGCGUGACAGUCAGGACCCACCUGGUCGAAGCAUACGUAGGGUUGUCAUUCUGGUCGCGAACGUGUACGUACAUACUGGUCGUUGUAGAGGUGCGCACGUGUCGUAGUAGAGGCACGCACGUAGCAUGUACACGUACGUAUAGCAGCGAGGGUGCAAGAAACAAAAUACGGCCACGUACGUACAUACGGGCAGGGUCUCGAACGCCUACUCACGCAUACGUACAUGGCUGGGUCAGAACGGAGAAACAACAUCGUCGUCGUGUUCAUGGGGAGCCAAACGGCUGGGUCGGAACAGAAUGCGUGGUCGUGUUCAUCGGGAGGGCUUGGACGGAAUAGGCUAUGGAAACGAGGCCUGGCGUACCGCACAACGGAGGAAACGGACCUCCUACAUUCGGAACGGGAUCAUGUUGAUCGGGAGGGGUGUGGCGUACCACAAAACAGAGGAAACGGACCUCCUACGGUCAAAACGGGAUCAUGUUGAUCGGGAGGGGUGUGGCGUACCGCAAAAUGGACGAAACGGACCUCCUACGGUCAAAACGGGGGUCCUUUUGAUUGGGAGGGUGUGGCGUACCGCAAAACGGAUGAAACAGACUUGUGUUGGAGCGCUACGGUCGAAACGGGGGUCCUGUUCAUCCGGAGGGGUGUGGCGUACCACAAAACGGGACUCCAUGGGAUACUGUUCAUCUCCACCGUCGACCUCCUCCAGCCUCCACGNNNNNNNNNNNNNNNNNNNNNNNNNNNNNNNNNNNNNNNNNNNNNNNNNNNNNNNNNNNNNNNNNNNNNNNNNNNNNNNNNNNNNNNNNNNNNNNNNNNNNNNNNNNNNNNNNNNNNNNNNNNNNNNNNNNNNNNNNNNNNNNNNNNNNNNNNNNNNNNNNNNNNNNNNNNNNNNNNNNNNNNNNNNNNNNNNNNNNNNNNNNNNNNNNNNNNNNNNNNNNNNNNNNNNNNNNNNNNNNNNNNNNNNNNNNNNNNNNNNNNNNNNNNNNNNNNNNNNNNNNNNNNNNNNNNNNNNNNNNNNNNNNNNNNNNNNNNNNNNNNNNNNNNNNNNNNNNNNNNNNNNNNNNNNNNNNNNNNNNNNNNNNNNNNNNNNNNNNNNNNNNNNNNNNNNNNNNNNNNNNNNNNNNNNNNNNNNNNNNNNNNNNNNNNNNNNNNNNNNNNNNNNNNNNNNNNNNNNNNNNNNNNNNNNNNNNNNNNNNNNNNNNNNNNNNNNNNNNAUCGAGUUCAGCUAACAGCCAUCGAUCGUUCGCUCGGGUUCAGUAACGCGUAGCCUGCAGUGCAAUUGCUCGGGUUCAGUUAGAGCCCAACACCUUGCUCGGGUUCAGUUAGAGCCAACGCCUCGCACGUGUACGAGAGAAACUCACAUCGCUCGGCCCCCGACCUCCCACCGUAACCGGCAACUCCCCGAAAUUUUCCUCCCCCUCGCUUCUACCACGGUUUUUUCCGUCAUGGACGGCCCAAAGAAUGUCAUACAGCUGCAUCUCCGGCCUGCCCAGGACGAAAAGACCAUUUUCUGUCAUGAUUUUUGGUCAUAGAAGUAGGAGCCCACCACAUCUAUGAUGAUACCGGGUUUUGUCACAAUAAUCGUCAUAGAAGUGUCAUAUGUAUGACAGGAAAAAAAUUCGUUCGACCCAAAAUGUCACGGAUGUGUCUUUUUUUUGUAGUGUAUGUACUAGUAGUUCAUAUUGAAAUCUACUAAAGUACAUAUAUAUUCCAAACAAUAUGAUAUAAUCUCUACAACGAAGGUAGUAGGGAUGAGGAGUAAACGGAGGGAGUAGUAAAUUUUUCUCCUUGUCCUGCGAGCCACCGCGCGCAUGAGCGAGGGAACGGGCGUAAGGUGGACAGUACUAAGCAAGCUUCACCUCAUCCUACGAGCCACCACGCCCGUGGGUGGGGGAGACGGCGUACGAAGCAAGCUUCUCCUCAUUUCGCGAGUUGACGGGACACAUCAAAAGUACUCCAGUGCAUAGAGCCUUGCCUCUAAGGUAGGCCUACAUGGUUUGCCUCUUUUUUUAACAUAAUGCAUCAAAUCGCAAUUUGUUUGUUCACCCGUGGUAGACGAUCCUCCCUCCACCAAGUGGACAACCAGUACACGUGCCAAAUUACCACGUGGGCUGCCUUUUUCAUACAGAAAUGAGAUCCACCGUGUACCCGCGCGGCUGUAGUUGGGAAAGAGACGGGAGUACGUGCGCCAUGCAUGCACCUCUUAUCUUCGUGCACGUCCCCCGCCUACAUGGGUGUGUGAGAGAGAUACAAACCGCGUUCAUGAGUGUUUUUUGUUCUAGGGUGGGGGUGGGGGGUUGAUUUCGUGAAUGUAUUUGUGGGAAUAUGUGUCGAUGACAUCUCAAACAAAAUUUGCAUGCAUUGUGUGUGAAAUGGAGGCCUAUCAAUAUCAUAUAUAGAGGGUCGGGCAAUCCACGAGAAGAGAGGGAGGGGUCAUAGAUAUCGAUAGAGUCGAAGAGAGGAUCAAGUGGGUGUGUGCGAGAUCGAUGAAGAGAGCCAUCGAAAUUGUGUGUGUGUGCAAGUCAAAUAUAUAGGGCGACUGACCUACCGGAACGUCAGAGGGCACAUGUCAAGUUUGUGUUUGGCAGGGAGACAUGACUAGAGUGCUCGAUGUAUCGGUGUGGGGGGGAGGGGGUGGGGGGAUGGGUAGGCAGAGGCCUAACUAUAGAGGUAGAACGACUCGUAUAUGUGUUGAGAAGGAGAGACCCAGCUAUGUCUUGCGGGAGAUCGGUCGACAUCCAUACGUAACUGAAGGACAGGAAAUAUGAUGGGACAUAGAGAGAGAGAGAGGAUAGAGAGAGAGAGGGAGGGAGAGGGAGGGAGAGGGGUAGAGUGUUGGAUGGGUGAUGGAGUUGCUUCUCGAAGAUGGUGGGAGAGGCCUACUAGACAAACUGAGGGUGGAACUGCAAUGUUAUCAAUAAGAGUGGGGAUGUGUUUCUGUGUGUGCCUGUGUGUGAUAGAUCUGUCGGGACGCAUCCAUGGAUGAUGAAGGGGAACCGUGUGUUUCGUAAGCAAACCUAACUAGAUCGGUAGAUCAAUUGUUGUUUGUUGGAGGAAGGGAGAGACAUAACUAAUGAGGUAGACCGAUCGACGCGUGGGUAAAAACGAGUUAUAAGGACCUAGCUAGCUAUAUGUAUAGCGAGAGAUCGGUCGGUGUACGUCCAUUUGUUAGAGGCAAAUAAGGCUAAGCGAGACGGAUAGACAUAGAGAAUGGAUCUAGGAGGUGGUCUGAGAGGCUCAGCUACUAGCUAGAUAGGGGGAGGAGUGUGCGGUUGUGAGAUCGAUGAAAAGAGGAGCAAGAGUUUACACGUGUGUGUGACCGUAUGAGAGACACGAGGCAAGGGCACAUAAAGGAGGAGAUUGAAGGUGCAUGUGUAUGUUGUAGGCAGGCAUCGCUGGAGAGGUUUAUCAAUCAAUAUGUGUCGAAAAGGAGUUGUGGAGACUCUGGGAGAACAACCUAAAAAAAUGAAUGUGCCCGGUGGAUAGAAUGCCGAGGGAGGGGGAGGGCGAGGAGGGCGUGUGCAUGCACGAGAGUAAGUUAGUGGUAGCUACAAAGGUUAGAGGAUUGUGUGCGUGUAAGAGACUAACAAAGAUCGUAAUUUGAUAUGAAAGCGGAUUCAUAUAUUUGAAUAGGAGAUCAUAGUGUUUUAAACAUAUGCAUGCGUGAAUAUAGCGGUGAUACACGUGAUGUGCACAUGUUAUACCAUAAUGUGAUAAUGCAUGGCGUUUGCAACUCACAGCUAAAUGUCGAACAAUCUAAACCAUACUAUACAUCAAACAAUCUCAAAUAAAAAAUGUCGAACAAUCUAAACCAUACUAUACAUCAAACAAUCUCACAUUUUAUUUGAAUUUGUGAUAAUGUGUGUAGUCUGCAGGUUACAACUAAAUAUCGAACAAUCUAAACAAUACUAUAUAUCGAACAUUCUCAUAUUUUAUUUGAAUUUAUGGUAAUGUGUGGUGUUUGCAACUCACAUCUAAAUACUUGUAGGCGUAGGGGGCGGGGCACCAUACAUAAUGUGGUAAACACAUUAUACAUCCGAGACAUGGUUUAGAUUAUGAAGAUCUAGCUAGAGCUAGAAAUGUAAUGUGAUUUGAAAUCAACAUAAAGUGGAUUCAAAAAAUUGAGUUCGAGUCAAUAUAGUACACAUAGUUCAUAUGUAACUCGAGACUAAUCUUUUGGUGUGCUGUGAAGAUAAUACACAAAUGAUGGUUUAACUUGACAAUAAUGAUGAUUGUAGAUCUUAUUAAAAUAGAGAAACGAAUUCAAAUGCUUUGAUUUCACAACAAUCAUUACUGUAGAUCUUAUUCAAAUAGAGAAACGAAUUCAAAUUUAGUUCAUAUUGAAGCGGUAGUAUAUACGUUUGGAAUGCACUAAAACAUUCAUUUGAGUUGUAGGUUGCAUGCAUUAUACACGUAGCGAAAUAUCUAUCUAUAUAUCUAUUAUAUACUUAAUACAAAAGACAAAUAAGACACCACGUUCUUCCAUAUAAGCUAAAAUAAUAUACAUCGUUGAUUACUUAUUUACGGUCGAGAUUCAAAGAUAUUACGUUACGCACAGAAAUUAUAUAUGUUGAACCGACACGUACAAGGUGCAUACAUAAGAAGUUGCAAAACAAAGAAAAAAAAUAAAACUACAACUAUGUUUUUCUAAAAAAGGUUGCCGGAGACAAACAUAUGCACGUGUUAGAGUCCAGCACAUGUAUGGGGUGGAAGCGUUGCAAGUCCUAAAUAGUAUAGGAAAGAAAAGAAGGGAGAAAAAAGUGCUGCUACGUACGUAUAGAAACCUACAACUAUUUUUUUUAAAGGUAAUCGGAGAGACACGCACGUGUUAGAGUCCAACACACAUACACAUACGGGGUGGCAGCGUUGCAUGUCCUAAUCGGACAGAAAAGAAGGGAAAAAGAAGUGCCGCCAGUUCUACAAAAAAAAGUGCUGCCAUGUAUACGUGCUACAAGCAAAAAAAUGUGCUGCCAGUUCUAAAAAAAACAGAAAAAAGUGCUGCCAUGUAUACGUGCUACAAGCAACCAAAAAACAGCAAUUAUUGCUGAGAUAAAAUUUGUAAAGGAUCCAUGUUGGAUGCGCUGUUAUAUCACCUCUCUCUUCAUCAUCUCUUUAAAUAAAGCCCAGUAAUUAAAUUAAAUACUCCGGAUCUGUUUUUCAAAAAAAAGAGUCACGCCAGGUCUUAACCAAGAAGAAGCAAUAUCAUGCUCUUAAUACAUGAAAAAAAAUACAUGGAUGAUAAGUAAACAAAAAGGCUCACGUUAAUACCUUUGCAGGGAUUUUUUUGCAUGAUCCUAGAAAGAGGAUGUGUUUCUUUUUCAAAAUUUCAAAAAGAAUAAAAUGGAAAUAUCAACGGUGGCCUACGUAUUAAGUUAGACAGAAUCAUCUCAUUGAUCAGUUAUAUCCUGGACACUAAUUAUAAUGGUCCGACCUAAAGACACCAUAUCAUAAAAUUAGAAGUUCUUUAGACCAAAGUCACUCCGGAUAUGUUUCUCAAAAAAAGUCACACUGGAUCUUAACCCAAAAGUAGCAAUAUCAUGCUCUUAAUACAUGGAUGAUACUAAAAAAACGGAUCACAUAAAAAUACCUUUGCAGGGAUUUUUUUUUCUCCAUGAUCCUAAUAAAGGAUCUAUUUCCUUUUCACAAUUCCAACAAUAAAAUAGUAAAUAUCAACUGUGGCAUACGUAUUCAGUUAGACAGAAACAUCUCAUUGAUCAGCUAUAUCCUGGACACUAAUUCUAAUGGUCCGACCUAAAGAAAAUAUAUCAUAAAAUAUUCAUGUGAAAAAACUAGGAUUCUGAAACGCACGACAACAAGGAUUAGCAGGUCGGAUCAAUUACAUGUGCUGAUCUAAUGGCGAUAUCAUGGAUCACCUCAGUAAAUGGAACAUCUGUCAUGUUUCUUCUUCCAUCGGGCACGGUCUAAAGCAGUGUGUUCAUGUAGGAAACAAAAAUUAGAGAACCAUUGAGUUGUUUGUUCGACCGGCUUCAUAAGCUGUACAUGACAACAAACUUUAACUAACAUUUAAUGUAUGCAUUGGUGACACAAGUUGCAUAAUAAAUCUAUUAGCCAGAAGGCCAUCUCGAGCAAUUGGCAAACGUACUGGAUACAUGCAAUGGCAUCUCACUGAAUAUACCUUGCAAAAAAAACUAAUAUAUCACCAUAUAGAAUUACCAAUUUUUGUAUCAAUUAAAUGGAUGAAUAUGAAAAAAAUAUAUCACCAUAUAGUGCUUCGGAUGUAUCGACACCAGCUACAAUGAUAGGGGCUGAGUCUAUGAACUAGUGUGUCAUCAAAAGGAUGUAACAUUGUGUCCUGCCAGCAAAUAUAAGAGUUGGAACACAAAUCAUGUCAAGUAUGUGAUAAGUUUCUUAGUAUGCCUAAGAAUACAACUAGAUGUGAAUACCAUUCAUGGACAUGAUCAUAAAAUAUACGAGUUGUUUGGAGAUUUAUGGAGCUGUAAUGAUUUAGAAUAUUUCCAUGAGCGUGCCCCAGUAAAACACACUGUUAGAUAUCCAGGCCAUAACACAUAUUUCAGAUGAACGCAUAUUAUAAACGAAAUAUUUCACGGCUCAUGAGUCUGUGAGGAAGAAAACAUAUGUUUAGAUUAUGUUCUUUGUCCUCAAAUCCCAGAAAGAUACUUUGGAAAUAUUGUAAUAAGCUGCCUUCAGUAUCCAAUUAUACAUGUGUGUGCUCAAACUUUACUAACAUUGUCAAUUUUAGUAAAUAUAAAAAAUCAGGUUAGUCAACAAAAAUGUAUAGUUUUAUUUUUCAUGGAUUAUUUCUUUGUACGAACAUCCAUAGACAAAAUAAUUGCCAGAAUUAUGUACCAGAAAAACUCAAAAUCUAAGAUGAUGUAUAUAACAGUAUGUAAGCUGAGCAAACACACAUCACAUUAAAAAAAGAAAAAAAAAAAGGUCUACAACUAUCUCCAUUAUUAGAUAGUUGACUUAGUCCAAUAAUACAUGUCACAAAGUGCAAACAUUAUAUCUGUGCGUAUAUGUACAUAAUAUAAUUUGUGUGUCACAAAUAUUUUAGACAUGAUAAAAUCAUUUGGUAAUCUACAAAGGUGCAUAUUUAUACAAUAAUAAUUAGCAAAUCUAUCCGCUGAAGAACAUAUGUAAAUACGAAAUGGCAACUUUGACAAUACUUAAUCUAGCCGCACAAAUGCGCGGGUCACACUGCUAGUUAUAUACUUAAAACGAUAGAAAACGAACGAUGAAGAUUUAUCUCUUUAGAGCUAUGAUUUUGAACGGCCUAGAUUUAACAGCCCACGUAAUAGAGUUUAACCACCACGUGCUAAAAUCAAACCUGCCUAAAUAAACCAAUUCUACAAGUUUGGCACGUGUAUUGUUUACCAAAGGUGGUCAACGUGAGUCCGUAAAGGACACGCUAAAAAAGAUACAAACAGGCACCAAGCCAGCCCAAGCACGUAGGUUCCCGAAAACUUAAAAGGAAACCACGUAGCUGUUUAAAAAAACAUAUAGGUUCCGAGAAAAGUAAAUACGUACGAAGUAUAUAUCCACUACAAACUUCCGUGAAGGACUCAAAUUUGUAACAGGGCAGCACAUGUAUGUAGAAAAAAAAAGCAAAUACGUGCAUGCAUGUAGAAACCGUUCUCUGCAUACACGCUUUAAAACAUCUGUGGAUGGCUACAGGGGUGCAGGGCAUUGUGACGCCCCCGAUUUAAUCGUACACUAAUCAUGCACGCAAAUGUGUACGAUCAAGAUCAGGGACUCACGGGAAGAUAUCACAACACAACUCUAAAACAUAAAUAAGCCAUACAAGCAUCAUAAUACAAGUCAGGGGCCUCGAGGGCUCGAAUACAACUGCUCGAUCAUAGACGAGUCAGCGAAAACAACAAUAUCUGAGUACAGACAUAAGUUAAACAAGUUUGCCUUAAGAAGGCUAGCACAAACUGGGAUACAGAUCGAAAGAGGCGCAGGCCUCCUGCCUGGGAUCCUCCUAAACUACUCCUGGUCGUCGUCAGCGGGCUGCACGUAGUAGUAGGCACCUCCAGUGGAGUAGGAGUCGUCGUCGAAGGUGGCGUCUGGAUCCUGGGCUCCAAUGUCUGGUUGCAGCAUCCGAGAAGAAGAGGAAAACGAGGGAAAGAGGGAGCAAAGCAACCGUGAGUACUCAUCCAAAGUACUCGCAAGCAAGGAGCUACACUACAUAUGCAUGGGUAUAUGUGUAAAGGGCCAUAUCAGUGGACUGAACUGCAGAAUGCCAGAAUAAGAGGGGGAUAGCUAAUCCUGUCGAAGACUACGCUUCUGGCAGCCUCCGUCUUGCAGCAUGUAGAAGAGAGUAGAUUGAAGUCCUCCAAGUAGCAUCUCCAGGUAGCAUCUCCAGGUAGCAUCGCAUAGCAUAAUCCUACCCGGCGAUCCUCUCCUCGUCGCCCUGUGGAAAAGCGAUCACCGGGUUGUCUGUGGAACUUGGAAGGGUGUGUUUUAUUAAGUAUCCGGUUCUAGUUGUCAUAAGGUCAAGGUACAACUCCAAGUCGUCCUGUUACCGAAGAUCACGGCUAUUCGAAUAGAUUAACUUCCCUGCAGGGGUGCACCAACUUACCCAGCAUGCUUGAUCCCAUUUGGCCGGACACACUUUCCUGGGUCAUGCCCGGCCGCGGAAGAUCAACACGUCGCAGCCCCACCUAGGCUCAACGGAGAGGCCAGCACGCCGGUCUAAACCUAAGCGCGCAGGGGUCUGGGCCCAUCGCCCUGAGCACACCUGCACGUUGCGUACGCGGCCGGUGAGCAGACCUAGCAACCUCCAUUACAAAGGAAGUUGCGUUAACGCAGUCCAACCCGGCGCGCGCCGCUCAGUCGCUGACGUCACGAAGUGCUUCGGCUGAUACCACGACGUCGGGAUACCCAUAACUACUCCCGCGUAGAUGGUUAGUGCGUAUAGGCUCGUAGCCAACUCAGAUCAAAUACCAAGAUCUCGUUAAGUGUGUUAAAUAUCCGCGAACGCCGAACAGGGCCAGGCCCACCUGUCUCCUAGGUGGUCUCAACCUGCCCUGUCGCUCCGCCACAAAGAUCCACACAGAGGGCCGUCGGGACAAAGGUCCUUUUAGCCCCCAAUCCGUGAAUCACUCGCGGGUACUCUUCCAGCUGACCCGACUUUAGUCACCAUCUGUAUAGUAUGUAAGUAUGUAUAAUAUAUUACCCGUGAUCACCUCCCGAGUGAUCACAACCCUAUAGUAUAGCAAGGCAGACUGACAAGAAUGUAGGGCCAAAGGUGAUAAACUAGCAUCCUAUACUAAGCAUUUAGGAUUGCGGGUAAGGUAUCAAUGACUGUAGCAGCAAUGAUAGGCUAUGCAUCAGAAUAGGAUUAACGGAAAGCAGUAACAUGCUACACUACUCUAAUGCAAGCAGUAUAGAGUAGAAUAGGCGAUAUCUGGUGAUCAAGGGGGGGGCUUGCCUGGUUGCUCUGGCAAGAAGGAGGGGUCGUCAACUCCGUAGUCGAACUGGGCAGCAGCAGCGUCGGUCUCGUAGUCUACCGGACAGAAAAGGGGGGGAAGAAACAAUGAAUACCAUGUAAACAGAUGCAUAUCGAUGCAUGACAAGACAAGUAACGAUGCUAGGCGGGCCCUAACGUGGUAUGAGGUGAUGCCGCUUAAGGGGGGAAACAUCCGGGAAAAUAUCCCCGGUGUUUCGUGUUUUCGGGCAGAGGAGCCGGAGGGGGAAAGUUGCGGGUUCGAUAGGUUAGGGGUGUGCGGCGGACGAACGGACUGCGUAUCCGGAUUCGUCCCGUCGUUCUGAGCAACUUUCAUGUUGAAAAUAUUUUAAUCCGAGUUACGGAUUAAAAGAUAUGAUUUUCUAAAGAUUUUAUUAAUUUCUGGAAUUUAAUUAAUUAUUUAAUUAAUUCGAAAAAUGGAUUUAUGACGUCAGCAUGAUGUCAUGCUGACGUCAGCAGUCAACAGAGUUGACUUGGUCAACCUGACAUGUGGGUCCAGUGGGACCCACCUGUCAUUCUCUGUUUAGGUUAAUUACAGAUUAGUUAAUUUAAUUACUAUUUAAUUAACAUAACUAGUUAAUUAAAUUAAUUAAACCGGAUUAAUUAACUUAAUUAAUUCAUUAGAUAAUUAAUUAUUUAAUAAUUAAUUUUAUUAAAUCAUUUUUUUUAUUUAUUAUUUUUAUUUUUAAUUCCUUUUUUUAUAAAACAUUAUGGGCAUGGGGCCCAUCUGUCAUAGACCCCAGGGGCCUUAGCGGGCGCCGGGUACUGGGUGCAGGCGCCACCCGAAUGGGCGCUGGCGCUGGGCGCACCCGAGCGGUCGCUGGGCGACGGGCACCAGCCCGCCCGGCAAGGCACAUCGGGGCGAGGCCAUGGCCGGCUGCGGGCGCGGGAGCAGCACGGAAGGGGGCUGCGGGCGAGGCCAGGGCGAGUGGGAGCGCGGUNNNNNNNNNNNNNNNNNNNNNNNNNNNNNNNNNNNNNNNNNNNNNNNNNNNNNNNNNNNNNNNNNNNNNNNNNNNNNNNNNNNNNNNNNNNNNNNNNNNNNNNNNNNNNNNNNNNNNNNNNNNNNNNNNNNNNNNNNNNNNNNNNNNNNNNNNNNNNNNNNNNNNNNNNNNNNNNNNNNNNNNNNNNNNNNNNNNNNNNNNNNNNNNNNNNNNNNNNNNNNNNNNNNNNNNNNNNNNNNNNNNNNNNNNNNNNNNNNNNNNNNNNNNNNNNNNNNNNNNNNNNNNNNNNNNNNNNNNNNNNNNNNNNNNNNNNNNNNNNNNNNNNNNNNNNNNNNNNNNNNNNNNNNNNNNNNNNNNNNNNNNNNNNNNNNNNNNNNNNNNNNNNNNNNNNNNNNNNNNNNNNNNNNNNNNNNNNNNNNNNNNNNNNNNNNNNNNNNNNNNNNNNNNNNNNNNNNNNNNNNNNNNNNNNNNNNNNNNNNNNNNNNNNNNNNNNNNNNNNNNNNNNNNNNNNNNNNNNNNNNNNNNNNNNNNNNNNNNNNNNNNNNNNNNNNNNNNNNNNNNNNNNNNNNNNNNNNNNNNNNNNNNNNNNNNNNNNNNNNNNNNNNNNNNNNNNNNNNNNNNNNNNNNNNNNNNNNNNNNNNNNNNNNNNNNNNNNNNNNNNNNNNNNNNNNNNNNNNNNNNNNNNNNNNNNNNNNNNNNNNNNNNNNNNNNNNNNNNNNNNNNNNNNNNNNNNNNNNNNNNNNNNNNNNNNNNNNNNNNNNNNNNNNNNNNNNNNNNNNNNNNNNNNNNNNNNNNAGGAGGCGUGCGGGGACGGGUGACGGGGUCAGGCCUCUCCCCUUAUCCAGAUGGGAUCGAGAGGAGAGGGGGCAGAGGGAGUGGCGUCGUGGGGAGGGGAAGUGGGUGACGGGGUGGUUAGGGUUUCGGGGGGGAAUGGAUAAGGGGAGGGGGGUGGCCGGUUGGGCCUACACCCGAAUGGGCCGGCCAACGAGGCCAGUAGGCCGUGGGAGGGGGUUCCCUCUUUUUUUUUGUUUUGUUAGUUUCUUUCUUUUAUUUAUUUUCCUUUUCUGUUUUUAUUUAUUUUAAAAUACUUAGGCAGUUUAUAAAAUUGUCUUUAUUACACCAUAUUGACUUAUGUAAAAUAUGGCAUCUCCCGAACACUUUUGUUUUAAAUUUUGAAAAACUUUUAUUGUUUGCUUUGAUUUUGAAAUUUGAAUUCGAACGGGAUUGAAUCAUCGCGAGGUUUACAACAGUAAGAGUGGUGAUGAGGCAUCAUUAGCAGAGGUUACUGUAGCUUGAUUAUCCGGGCAUCACAAUUCUUCUCCACUACAAGAAAUCUCGUCCCGAGAUUUAGGAGGGGAGUAAGGGGGAAGAAUAGGUUACGAAAUUCUAACGAUUCUUCUCGGUCUUGGUUGCUCUUCUCGAAGUGGUCGAUCCAUAGCGCUGAUGUCUUCAUUCCUAUGCAUCAAUGCAUCAUGAUGAGGUUGUCGUCCUUUCUUCAGGAACUCCAUCGUACUUACGAUAAUGAUAAGGGGUAACUACUGAAGAACGGACCUUCAAGGUCAACUACCUAGCAGAUAACUGAGAGAAUGUGGUAGAAGUAACUCUCGAAUAGAUACUUAAGAAAUUAUCGAGAGUAAAGUAAGAAGGUACCAUGAGAAGUUUCAAACGGGUAGGCAAUCGUUCGAUGUCUGAAACAACAUGCGAAAGGGGUCCAAAGCAACGAGAUUGAAUAUUGCAUCUGUUUCCAGAAUAGAUCACUAGGAAGGUGGCUCGCGAAUUACACACAAAGCCAAGCGUGAGUAUUGACUUUGGGAAAGGGGGUACAGGAGGGUCAGGUUUCGAUCCUGUGGAACUGUGGGUUAUGGGCCCACCAUGUGGGUUAAAAGUAGGAAAGGCAAUGACGUCUUGCACAAUCAUGUAAGCAAGGCAUGUUAGAGGAUAGCCUGACAGUUAUGUCGGCAACAAUGUCGGUACCAAGGGCGAGGGACGAAGAGAACCAUCUUCCUGCUCGUUGAACGAGGCGGACCAAUAGGCAAAGUUCUCGUCCAUCGAUGGUUACCGGAAUGUCAUCACCAAAAUAACAGGGUCUUUCUGACAGCAUUGUACACCGAGGUGUUUACAAAAGUAGGAGAAUAUUACUGCUUAGAUCUCAUAGAUCACAAGAAAGAUUAGACCAAACAAUGGAAAGGAAGAUAUGAUUAUCGGAUUUAACCAGAUCAAUGGAAAGGAAAAAUGUGUUUAAACACAUUUUCCA
rnacentral:lncRNA from 1 species